AAAAAAAAAAAAGAUUGGCUGAACUUGAAAAUUUACUCAUUGAAUGAGUAAACGAGUGAAUCGGAUUCGGUUGGGUGGUACCAACUAAAUCGAGUGCUAUCUCCCAUUUAUCUCUUAUUGAAUUAACUGAUCAACUUGCUAUCGGACAUUUAUUUUCGAUUUGGUAUUAUUCCAAAAAGGAUUUCGACAUAUUUCACUUUAUUAUAAUUAUGAGAAUCAAUCCUAUUACUUCUAGCCCUGCGGUUUCCACACUUGAAGAAAAAAACCUAGGGUGUAUCGCUCAAAUUAUUGGCCCAGUACUGGAUGUCGUUUUUCCCCCGGGCAAAAUGCCUAAUAUUUAUAACGCUUUGGUAGUUAAGGGUCGAAAUACUGUCGGUCAGCAAAUUAAUGUGACUUGCGAGGUACAACAAUUAUUAGGAAAUAAUCGAGUUAGAGCUGUAGCUAUGAGUGCUACAGAUGGGCUGACGAGAGGAAUGAAGUGAUUGACACGGGAGAUCCUCUAAUAAGUGUUCCGGUCAGCAGAGCUACUCUUGGGCAAAUCUUCAAUAUUCUUCGAGAGUCUGUUGAUAAUUUAGAUGCCGUAGAUACUCCCACAGCAUCUCCAAUUCAUAGAUCUAUUCGUUUAUUAUUUCGCUGCGCCCACUAGUACAUAAUAAAAAAUAUAUAUAUAUAUAUAUAUAUAUAUAUAUAUAUAUAUAUAUAUAUAUAUAUAUAGAGUAGGGCUGCUGUGCUCUAAGGAGCACAGAGGCCUUCGUGAUCCUGAGCCGUUUUCGAUGAUAGAGUUUUCGAAUCGACGAUCAGUUCCGUUAAACUUGAUCUAGCAUAUUUGAAGUUUCUAGAAAAUAAUUUUUGCGAUUUUUCGAUAUUAUUUACCUAGCAAUCGAAAUGAUUCAAAAUCAAUAACUUUUAACGGCUGUAAAUAAAAAUUCUAUAAAAAGUGGUGAUAUAGCACUAAAAUUUUCGAUCAGAAAUAUUGAUCUUGUUAUAGAUAGUAUAAAGAAUUUUGCAUCAAAAUUUCAUCUGAUUUGAAUAAUUCUACACCGUUAAACUUGAAAACGGCAGAUAUUAACCAUUAAAAAUUAUGGAUUUUGAAUCCUUUCAACCACUAGGUAAAUGAUAUCAAAAAAUCAUAAAAAUUAUUUUCUAGGAACUUCAAAUGCGCUAGAUCAAGGCUAACGGAGCCAAUCGUCGAUUCGAAAAUUUCAUCAUCGAAAACAACUCAGGAGCACGGAGGCCUCCGUGCUCCUGAGAGCACGACAGCCCUGCUAUAUAUAUAUAGUCCGGCUGCUAUGCUAUUAAUAGCACCAAGCACUUGGUACUAUCAAGUUUUCUGCCGUUAGAUUAACCCCUUUGAUUAUUUUUAUCCGUUAGAUUAUACUAUUCAACCAACCAUCCACUCAACCCUAGGGACUUCACAUCAUCCUAACCGAACAUUUCUCAAUCCAACGGCCGAAAAUCUAAUAGCACAAAUUACUUGGUGCUAUUGAUAGUAUUCCAGCCUAGUUCACAUAUAUAUAUAGUUGAGCUAGAAUACUAUCGGUAGUAAACGAGCCGUUUUACUACCGAUUUGUUUUCGGUGAUAGAACUUCCAAAUUGACGAUCGGCUCUGUUGAACAUGAUCUAUACCACUUGAAGUGUUUAGAAAUCAAAUUUCAAAUCUUUUCGACAUCAUUUGCCUAAUGAUCAAAGGGUUUCAAAAUUUGUAAUUUUAAUGGUUGAUCAGAGGCGUUUUCUCGUUUAACGGCAUAAAGAUAUCCAAAUCAAUUGCUACUAUACUAUUAUGAGUACGAUCGCCCUCGUACUCAUAAGUUGUUUUCGAUAAUAGAGCUUCCGAAUCGACGAUCCACACCGUUAAAUGUUAUCUAGAGCAUUUGAAACAUCUAGAAAUCAAAUUUCAUAAUUUUUCAACAUCAUUUACCUUACAAUCAAAAGGUCACAAAAUUGACAAUUUUUAACGGCCGGCAUAGGAUACUUGCUAGUUUAACGGUGUAAAAGAAUCGAAAUGAGAGAGAUAUCUAUCUUACGAGGGAAAGGAUCCGUUAUAAUAUAAUUAAACAGUUUAGAAUCAAAGAUAUUGAAUCUGUUCUUAAUAUAGUAUAAAAAAUUUUCUAUCCAUAAAUUUUAGGUGUUGAUAUUUAUACAUCGUUAAAGCUUGCAAACGCCCGCCUGAUCAAGGCCCAUACGUCGCCAUUCUAAAGUAUAUCUGAUUUGUGAGCCCUCCCCUUCGAUCACUAGGCUAAAAUGAUUACAUGAAAACUCAUAAUAAUCAUAUAAAAAUCUUAGGUAAUCUUCAAAAACCCCUGUGUUUCACAACUUUUCAUUUAUGAGUACGGCCUGGGUUUAAAGUGUAUCAAGUUGAUAUACCCUGUGUUUUCUCACUUAUAUCACUUUAGUAUCCUUGUUUAAAAAAAAAAAGGGUUUCCUUCUUUGUGGGUUACAUCAAGUUAAGUAACCAUGUGGUUUUUGCACUUUAAUCAUUAUUAGUACCCUGUGUUUCACAUUUAGUCAACUUUAGUACUCCGCUGAUGAGUAUUUUAACACAAAACCACUAAGGGUUUACCCCUAGAAGAUAUUUAGGACGGGAACUCUUUGAAUAACACAAAUUAAAUACCGCAAGGCUACUAAGUGAUAAAGUGCAAAACCAGGUGUACUGUAACUUGAUAAUACGUUAAACAAAGGAUUAUGAAAUAGAAAAAGUAGAAAUUCCAACAAGGGUACUACUUGAAUACAUUUAGAGAUGCCCACCAGAAACAGGGUAUUAAAAGUGAAAAAAAUUGAAACCACAGGGGAAGUUUUUUGAGUUUCGCUAAAAAUUUCUAUUUCUAAAACGCGUUACUUCAAAUAUCUAUAUCAAGUUUAACAGAGCUCGAAUCGACGAUUGAAAGCGCUAUUAAUCGGACGAAAACGACCUAGAAGCACGGAGGCUCGCGUGCUUCCAAGAAGCAAAUUAGUAGUUAGCGCAUCACUGCAUAUAUAUAGUUAAUAUAUAAUAGAACUAGCUACUAUGGCUUAUACACAGAAGUCCAUUGUAGCGCUCUGACAAUUUUGGCCAUUGGAACUGAUAGAAAUGUGGGCGUUUAGGAUAUGUGGGCGCUCUUCUCAAGGUUGAGUGGAUUGUUUGUUGAAUAGUAAUGAUCUAAACGCUGAAAAUGACUCAAAGGUGUAGAUCUAACGGCGAAAACUUGUAGCACCUAAGUAAUAUUUGUGCUAUUAAUAGAUUAGUAGCUGAACUCAUAUUAAAUAUAUUAAAAUAUAAUAUAAUAUAUUAUUAUAUAUAUAUAUAUAUAUAGAACCCACAAGGUAGGACAGAACGAGAGAAGAGAAGGAGAGAGAUGAAGAGAGCGAAGAGAAGAGAGAGGCUACUAUUGAUUCUGGGAACACCGACGAAGCCUUUCCGUGCUUCAGCUGAUGUCUAACCGUCCUCCGUUUCUAUGUUGUGCGGACUAUCGAAUUAUCAGAUCGGCCUACCCUAUAACUUGAUCUAGAGUAUUGUAAAGUACCUAGAUAAAUAGAAAUUAACAGAUUUUUUUUAGCGAUAUAUGUGCCUAGUGAAAGCGGGGCUAAAACAGCCGCUGAAAAUAAAAUCUUACAAAAGGUUAUAAUAAUGAACAUUAAUAUAUUUUAUGAUCACAGUGAUAUUAUCUUGUUUUAUUUAAUAGUCACACGAAUUUCUAUCAAAAUUUCACGUGAUUUGAUAUCUUUUACAUGCGUAUUAGACAACUUCAUAAGAGAAAACAGUGGGGUGCGGAGCUGCACAUCUAUCCUCAUUAAAAAAUUAUUUAAUUUUUCAGAGCUCCUGCGAUUCGACUAGGUAAAUAAUUAUUACAAAAUCAAAAAUUUAUUUUCCUAGAUACUUCAAAUACUCUAACAAAGGUUUAACAGGGCCGAUUCACGUCGAAUCAACAGUCGAAAAACCUGGAGCAGAAGGCUCCUGCGCUCCAAAGCAUAGUAGCCAAAAUAUUAAUACUCAUAUAAUUCUAUAUAUACUAUAUAUAUAUAUAAUAUAUAUUAUAUAUUAUAUUAUAUAGGAGUAAGGCUAUAAUAGUCCUAUGAUAUAGAGCCUUCCAAUACUUAUAAUAUUUUUCGAUGUGGAUUUUCGAAUUGACGAUCGCAACGUUAAAUAGAUUUAGAGUAUUGGAAACCUUUUAAAAAAAUAAAUUUCCGUAAUUUUUCGAAAUCAUUAUAAAGUCCAUCAAGCGCUUAUACAAUGAAACGGUUAAAAUCUAACGGGACAAAUCGCUAAAAAAGGAUGAUCAAUUCUUCAUCUAACAUUCGAUGUUGAUCUUUAUAUAGGUAAUGGAUAAGAAUUUCUCUGAAUUAAGAAUUCAACCGUAUUGCGAUACCAUCUUUUCACCAACGUUAAAUCUAGUAAAUAUUCAUACGCGUCCGUUAAAAUUGUCAUUUUGUGAGCUUUUCGAUCGUAGGAAAAUGAUAUCGAACAAUUAUAAAAUUGAUUCUAGAAAUUCAAAAUGCUCUAGAUAAUAUUCUAACGCGUACGUGAUUGUCCGAUUCUGUGAAAGGCUCUAUCAUCAAAAAACAACUUAUGAGUACGAAGGCCGUAUCGUACUCAUAAGAAUAUAUGUAAGGCUGCGGGGCAGGAGGAUUCAUGGUAGUAGUAUAGCUUAUAGGAGGGGGUAGAGAGAAGAGAGAGUGGACCAGAAUACUCUCAAAGCACCCAGGGUGGUGUUUUUUGAAUUUCUAACCAUUUGAUGAGAGAUGAAGGGUUGAGUAUAAUAGUGGUUAGUUGUAAGUGUGGUUCGAUGGCAUAGAUGUUUUUUGAUCAAAGGAGUAUUCCUAAUUAAGGAUAGUAGAUCGAAGGGCUAAGAAACUUAGAAGCAGCCCAAGGUUGGUGCUAUCUAAUUUAUUCUACUCAACCUGCUCUCUCUCUCUCUCAUGCUCUCUUCUCUCUCUCAUCUAUAUAUAUUAUAUAUAUAAGUGUAUGGCUACUAUACUAUUAUGAGUAUUAGGCCUUCGUACUAAUAAGUUUUGUUUUACGAUGAUGUGAGCUUCUCGAAUCGACGAUCUCACAGGUGUUAAACUAAUAUGAUAGAGGAUAUUUUUUAAACUUCUAAAAAUAAAUUUCGUAUUGUUCGAAUGCAUAAUAAAAUCCCAUCAGCAUGCAUAAAAUAAAACAUUCAAAAUCGAACGAUUAUUUUAAAAAAUAGAGUUCGCAUCUAAUACAAUUUAUCAAAAAUCGAGUAUGAUCUUUAUCUAGAUAGUGAAUAGAAAUUUCUAAUCAAAAAUUCAACCUAAUUCGAUCCUUUGCGNNNNNNNNNNNNNNNNNNNNNNNNNUAUAUUUGUAGCAACACUUUUUAAAGUGUCGGUAAUUUUAGUGCAGCACUUUUUGAUAUGUAACCUAAUUUUUUAAAAGUGUUCGCUAAUAGACAGUAUUUUUUUGUGUCUAUUCACUAAUCCACUGAUUGUUUAGACGAAGAGCUUUCUGUCGUCCUCAUCGCACCGCAGCACGCAGAUAGGAGUUUCGGCGUUGCUAAUGUUUAAAUAAGUGUGGUAAAUUAGCGCACUCUUUUAGGUUAUGUGAACUCUUUAACUGGAAUAUAUACUAGUCGGACCCACAUUAUAUUGUGCAACACUUUUUAAAAGUCGCGGGUUAAUUUUAGCUAGCAUGCGCUUUUUUUGAAUGUUAUACAUUUAAAAGUGUCGCCUAUAGACCGUUUUUGUGUGAGUGAGGUGCAUAAUGUUGAUCAAGGGUAUUAUAAUUAAGGACGUAGAUCGAAGGGCUAGAAAUUAAAGCACAACGGGGUUGGUGCUUCUAAAAGUAUUUCUAGCUCAACUUCUCGAUCUCUCUCUCUCUCUCUCUCCUUCUCUUCGUUCCUAUAUACUAUAUAUAUAUAUAUAUAUAUUAGUAUGGCUACUAUACUAUUAUCGUAUUCGGCACUUCUACUCAUAGUUGUUUUAGAUGUGGAGCUUCGAAGGCGCGAUCCAUCGUUAAAUAUGAUAUAGAUAUUUACUUUUAGAAAAUAAAAUUUGUAAAUAAUAUAAAUCCAUUAAGCAGGAUAAAUAAAAGUCAAAUGAACGAUGUUUUAAUAUAGUUAUGAUCGCAUCCUCCAUUUAAGAUCGGAUGUAUAUGAUCUUAUCUGAUAGGAAUGUUUAGAAUUUUCUAUCAAAAUUCAACUAUUCGGAUUCUUUUGCACCGUUAAACUAGCAAUUAUUUCAUAUCGGCCUGUUUAAAAUGUCAAUUUUGUGACUUUAGAUUGAGGUAAUGAUGUCGAAAAUAUGAAAUUUGAUUUCUAGAUGUUUCAAAUGCUAAGAUAACAUUUUAAUGGUGUGGAUCGUCGAUUCGAAGCUUAUUAUCGAAAACAACUUAAUGAGUACGGAGGCGAUCGUACUCACAAUAGUUAUGUAAGAAAUUUGAUUGGAGUUCUUUAUGCCGUUAAACGAGAACGCUCUAUAUCAACAUUAAAAUUACACAUUUUGGGAAACCCGUGAUCUUAAGGCACAAAUGAUGUCGAUAAAGAUUGAAAUUUGAUUUCUAAACACUUAAGUGGUAUAGAUCAUGUUCAACGGAGCCGAUACGUCAUUUUGGAAGUUCUAUCAUCGGAAACAAACUGUAGUAACGGCUCGUUCUACGAUUUUUCUUAGCUAACUCUCUCUUUCUCUCUUCUCUCUCGUCUAUCUCUCUCUCUUAACAUUAUUAAAUAUAUGUGUAUAUAUAUAUAUAUAUUGUGUGUUAUAUAUAUAUUAUAUGUGUAUAUGAAAUUUAAUAUAAAAAUAUUAUGGGUGUUAAUUAUAUAUAUAUGUGUAUAUAUAUUAUAUCAUAUAUGGAACUAGGCUUGGAAUACUAUCAAUAGCACCAAGUAAUUUGUGUAUUAGAUUUGUUCGUCCGUUGGAUUGGAAAGUUGCGUUGGAUGAUGUGAAGUCCUAGGUUGAGUGGCUAUGGUUGGUUUGAAUAGAUAUAUCUAACGGAUAAAAAUAUCAAAGGGUUAAUCUAACGGCAGAAAACUUGACUAGUACAUGCUUCUGCUUAAUGACGCAUAGCGAAGCGGACUAUAUAUAUAUGAGCAGGGCUGUUUCGUGCUUCAGGAGCACGGAACGGCUCCGAUGCUCCUGAGUUGUUUGUUCGAUGAUGAAAUUUUUGGAAUCGACGUUGGCUCGUUAGCUUGAAUCUUAGCGCAUUUGAAGUUCCUAGAACAAUGAUUUUUAUGAUUUUUUGAUAUAUUUUAAUAGUGGUUGAAAGGAUUCAAUCCAUAUUUUAAUUUGGUUAGAUAUCUGCCGUUUUCAAGUUUAAGGUCUUAGAAUUAUUCAAAAUCAGAUGAAAUUUUGGAUGCAAAUUCUUUAUACUAUCUAUAACAAGAUCAAUAUUUUGAUCGAAAUUUUUGUGCUAUAUCACACUUUUAUAGGAAUUUUUAUUUACAGCCUGUUAAAAGUUAUUGAUUUUGAAUCAUUUCGCAUUGCCAAGAAAUAAUAUCGAAGAUAAAUCGGCAAAUUAUUUUCUAGGAAACUUCAAAUAAUGCGUAGAUCAAGUUAACGGAAAUGAUCGUCGAUUCGAAAACGUUAUCAUCGAAACGGGCAGGAUCACGAAGGCCUUAUGUGCUCCCUCUAGAGCCCAGCAGCCCUUUAUAUAUUAUAUUAUAUAUAUAUAUAAUAUAUAUAUAUAUUGAGCUAGAAUACUUUUAAGAUGGUGCUUCUUAAAGUUUUAGCUCUUGAUUACUCCUUGCAUUACUAAUACUCUUAGAUCAACACUAUAUUCACCUUACCACUAUUUAUCUACCUACCAUCUCUCCAUCCAAUGGUAAAAAACUCAAAUGAGCACACCCCUUGGUAUUUUGAGGUAUUCUGCUCAAUAUAUAUAUAUAUAUAUAUAUAUAUAUAAUAUAUAUAUCAUAUAUUAUUAAUAUUAUAUAUAUAUACUAUAUAUAUAUAUAUCUUUUGGUGUUCUUAGUUUAUAGCCGUUGGAUCUACUUCUUGAUUAUAAUACUUUUAGAUGCAAGCACUAUUCGCCUUAACACACCUUAUCACUAUCAUUCAACCCUCUGCCUUAUCAAUUGGCUAAAAAUCAAGCACAUUUCUUGGGGCUUUUGGAAGUAUUCUAGCCUUCAAAUCAUAUCUCUCUCUUCUCUCUCUAUAUAAGUAUAUAUAUAUAUUAUAUAUAUUAGAGAGUUUGAGCUAGAAUACUUUCGUAGUAAACGAGCAUUUUAUCCGAUUGUUUUCGAUGAUAGAGCUUCCAAAUUGCACGAAUCCAGUCUUUAAAUAUAUCUAAACCAUUUAACUACCUAGAAUCAUAUUUCACGCAUUUCGUAUUUUCUUUUAGUCCAUCAAAGUGCAACAGAAAAAUGAAUGGUUGAAAAUGGAAUACGCUUUAAAAAUGAUUAGAUCUUGAAUCAAGUAUCAGAGUAUAGAUCUUGUUUUAAUAGUUUAAAGAUUUUUAACAAAAAUUCAAUUGAUUUGGUAUCGUUUUUACGCGUUUAACGAGAAAAGUCUCUUAUGACCAUUAAAAUUCAAAUUUGAACCCUUUGAUUAUUAGCAAUGGAUGUCGAAAAAGAUUUGAAAUUGAUUCUAAGACACUUAAGUGCGUAUAGUCGUAUGUUAACGGGACGAAAUCAUUUGGAAGUCUCUAUCAUCGAAAAACAAUCGGUAGUAAACGGCGCUCGUUUAUACGAUAGUAUUCUUAGAUAAUUAUAGUAUAUUAUAUUAUAUAAUAUAUAUAUAUAUACUAGAGUGGGCUGGGUGGCUUAUGGGCCGGAGCAUCCGUGCUUCAGUUCGUUUUCGUAUGUUCGCGACUUUCGAAUCGACAUCGGCUCAUUAGAGUUGAUCUAGGAGUAUUUGAAGUUACUAACAUAAGUUUGUGAUUUUUGAUAUCAUUUGCCUAAGAUGAUUUGAAGGGCUCAAAAUCAAGAAUUUUUAUAUGGCGCGUGGUUAGCCGUUUGCAAAUUUAACUGGGUGUGGAAAUAUCGAAAUCACAUGAAUUUUUGAUUAGAAAAUUUGUAUUCAUAUAAAUAAGAAUCAAUAAGAUUUGAUGCUAAAUUUUAAUGUCAUUCAUCAAUAUUUUGUAAGAUUUUCUUUUCAGCGUUGAUUUUGAGCCAUUCGAUCAUUAGAAAUGAUAUCAAAAAUCGCAAAUUUAAUUUUCUAGUACUUCAAUAUCUAGAUCAAGUCUGUUAACGGAAGCGACGUCAAUUCGAAGUCCGUAAACAUUGAAAAAACUUGAAGACGAGGCUCCGUGCUUCUAAGUCAGCGAAGCCAUACAGGCACAACUCUAUAAUAAUAUAUAUAUAUAUUAAUAUUAUAUAUAUUAUAUUAAUAUAUUAUAUAUAUAUAUAUAUAUAUUAUAUAUAUGAGUGAGCACUAUCUAUCGGAGUACGGACCUUCCGUGCUUCCACUCGUUUUCGAUGUUUGCGACUUUCGAAAUCGAUCGACCUCCGUUAAAUUGAUCUAGAGUAUUUGAAUAACUUAGGAAAUAAAUUUUUUAUUUUUUGAUAAUCGUUGCUAGUAGAUCGACAUGGUCAAAAUUCACGGCGGAAAUAAAAUCGGGUUACAAAUGUGGAUAAGUAUACAUUAAAUUUUAAAUCAAAGAUAUAUUUAUUUAUAUAAGUGUAAAGAAUUUUCUUAUCAAAAUUUACGUGAUUUGGAUAUUUAACACCGCUUAAACUUUGCAAACGCUCACUCGGACAUUAAUUGUUUGUUUUGAAGCCUAUUCGAUCACUAGGAAAAUGAUAUCGAAAAUAACUGAAAUUUUUUCUAGGUACGUUCAAUAUUUGAUUCAAUUUUUUACGGACGGAAGCGAUCGCGAUUCGAAAGUCGCAACAUCGAGAACGAGUGAAGCACGGAAGGCUCAGUGUUCAUAGCAUAACAGUAGCUACACUCUAUGUAUAUAUAUAAUAUAUAUAUUUAAUAUAUAUAUAUAAUAUAUAUAUAGAUAGGGUUUAAGAUAACUUUCAGUACACACUAAGUGAGAUAUAAUAUGUUUUCUAGCUUUGGAUGAGAUAGAUGGAGGUUGAGAUGAUGGGGUACGGUUGGUGUAGAGUGGUGUAGUGGAUAGGGGAUGGUGUUUGAUCAAGGAUAUUUGUAAUCAAAAAGUAGAUCCAAUGAAGACUAAAAGGUAUAGCAAUUGAAGGAUGAUACUUGUAAAAAGUAUCCUAGAUCAACUCUAACAAAAACUAUAUAAAUAUAAAUAAUUAAUAUAUAUAGAAGUGAGGAAUAAAUGCAUUCGGAAAGCACGGGAGCCUUCCGUGCUUCAAAACUCCAGUUUUUGAAUUUGCGAUUUUGAGAUGUCGAUCAGGCACUACGUUAAACUUGAAUCUAGAGUUAUCUUGGAGUAGUACCUUAGAAAAGUAAAAUUUUAUUAUUUUUCGGAUAUCAAUAUUGCUAGUGAUCGAAUGCUCAAAUAUCAAACAAAUUUCAAUGGCCAAAGUAGUGAAUGCGAAGUUUGACAAUAUACGGAAUUGAAUAGAAAUAUCACAAUCAGUGAAUUUUGAACUAGAAAAUUCUAUGGUAUACUAUAAUAAAACAAGUUAAUACUUUGUUAAAAUUUAAUGUAUAUUAAUGAUACAUUUUGCUAGCAUAUUUUAUUUUCAAGCAGUUGUUUUAGAGACCCUCGUACACAUAGGCAAAAUGAUAUCGAUAAAAUCAUAAAUUAGUUUUGAGCUACUCCCAAUUACUGUAGUAAAGUUUAACAGGCAAAGAAGAAAAAAAAAUAAAACCAAACAACGAUCACGAUUCGAAUACGAUACAUCGAAAACAGAAAGUGGAAGCACGGUGAAGAGUCUCGUGCUUCCGAUAGCAUAGUAGCUCAUCCUAUAUAUAAAAUAAAAUAAUAAUAUAAAAUAAUAUAAUAUAUAUAUAUAAUUAUUAUAUUACAUAUAUAUAUAUGAAGUGUGUUUCUGUCAUUACAAGUUAGAGUCAAAUAUCAACGAUGUUGUUGUGAACUUUAAAGGGCACGUCAUAGACCCUAUCAUCAAGCGAAAAGGCAAACCUACAUAACUAGCAUUAGAUAUAACUAGGGGUGAAGCUUUAUCAACAAAAUAUUAAAGCCACAGUGAAGAUAUAAAUUAUCCGUAUAUGCUUAAAUCAUAAAAAUAUAAAAUAAAACUGCCGAACCUUCCAGAAACUUCUUUUUUCUUUUAUUAUAUUUUUGUUUGACUCUCUAGAAAUAUUUAAUGCAUGAUAUUGGUUAAAAAAUAAUAAAAUAUAGAUGGGAAUGUCCAAAAUCUGUGAAUUUAAAGCCAUUGUUUUUUUAAUUGAAUUAAAUUUUCAUGCAAGAGCGGCAAAUUAAAAACUAGCGAAUCACUAUCAUAUUUACUGAAUUAAUGCAGAAAAUUUUAUUUGUUGUUUCAUAUCAAUAUAUAGUAACAUAUGAUUUGUCUCGAAUUAAAAUUGAUUCACAACAGAGGAAAAAAAAAAUUAUCUAGACGAUAGAAAAAAAAAAAACUUAAAUGAAUGAAUUAUUCUCAUUUCUACUUCUUAUUUCACCUGUCAACAAUAUGACUUCAACAAAGUAUCGUAGAACACAACUAAAUAUUUCAUAAUGAAGUGUUUUACAUUAUACAAGUGACAAAAUCAUAUGAAUGGAAAAAAGGAUAAUUAAGUAUAAUAACAAGACAAUACUUAUAUAGGGAAUGUUAUAAAAGUGAUUAUAUGAUUGGACACACAUAGAAAAAUGAAAAAAUAGGAAUUUCGGUGUUUAAUGAAAUGUCAAAUGAGGAAUGACGAUCAUGCAAAAUAUUUGGUUCAAUUUUGAAUCGAAAUUGGGAUAGAAAAAUUUAAAAAUUGAGAGAGGUUUUUUAGAAAGAAAAAGUGAUGAGAUGAGCAGAGAUCGAGGUGGUUGAAAGAGAUUUUGAAUAGUUUAUUUUGGAAUCAGCCAUUCUGAGGAUUCAAAGUCGAUUGAAUUUAAAUGGAUUUGUUCAUUCCCAUUCCGGAUGAAAUGAGAAUGGCAAUCUUUUCUAUAAAACAAACGGAACUAUCGGAAUCAAUGAAAUUCCAUUCCAUUCAUAAGUCUAAAAUAGAUGAGCCAAACAUCGCUAAGAGCGAAUAUCUUCAAUACACAUAAGUAUUAAAGCAACUUUAAUUAGUAAUAAGGUAUAGUUGUUUUAAUAAGAUAAUAUUAAAAUGUUUAUCGAAUUGAAUUAGUUAAUAUGAUAAUUUUGAAAAAAAUUGAAGUAUUAUGCAAAUUUGUUGUCUAUAAUAUUAAAUAUUUUAUUUAUUUUAAUUACCAAAUUAGUGAAUACCCAUUGUUAUUACCAAUCUAAAGAAUUAAAUUAUAAAUUUAAUUUUUUGAAUUGUAUUGUAAUAUAAAUUGAAUUUCAAAUUAUAUUAAAAUUUUUUAAUUUGAUCUAUGAUCUGUAGUUUUAAUCUGAAGUUCAAAUUUUUCAAUUUUGAUUAAAUUUAAAAUUAUUGAAAUUUGAACUGGAAAGUAAUUUAUUUUUAAUUUGUUUUAUAUUUAAAUUGAUUUGAUUUAUAAUUAGUUUUUUAUUAGUUGUCGAUUUAAAUUACGUUUAGUUGUAUUUCGAAUUCAACUAUGUUGUAUGUGAGGUAUUGAGAAAAGUUUAUGCUAUUUUAGGUGGAGAUAAAACGGUUUUGUAGACUAAAAAUUUUUUAAGGCCAAACAUAUGAUUGAAUGUAAAGUGUUUGAAAUAGUAGUCUCUUUGAUCUAUUACAUUUAACAUCUAUUUAAAAAAAAAUAGGUGUAAGUUUACGUGAUGUAUGAAGUGAUACUCUAAUUUAUAUAAUUAGACUUAUCUUAGACGAUAGGCAAUUAUUAUUUUUAGCUCAAUUAUUAUUUCUUUUCAUUUUUGAGAUGGGAUUAAGAUUUAUUCGAGGAGUAUUAAUAUUACUUAAAAAAAAUAAAAAAAAUCAAUUAACACUUGUGUACUAAAUCCAAAAGGGAGUAUUAUAUACUAUUCGAUAGCACAAUGCCUUCGUGGUUAUUGUAUUUCUGCGAUUUUAUAUAUAUAUAUCAUAGCGGAGGGAGAAGGAGAAGAGAGAGAGACUAGGUGUGGUACUAUCGGUUAGCACGGGCCUCCGUGCUACAUAAGUUGUUUUAAUAAUGGUCCAACGACGAGCGAGUAUUCACAGCACUUGAUCUAUAUAUAUUUAAAGUAUUUGAAAAUUAAUUUCGGUAAUUUUUUGGCAUCGUUUGGCUAGUAUCAAAAGGUCUCAAAAUGACAUUUUAAUGAUUGCAGUGCGUUACGUUUGUAAUUUAACAGAUGUAAAACAAUUCAAAUCGAUGAAAUUUUAUUUUAAAAAUUUCUUUUCAUAUUUUUAGAGUAAGAUUAUUCCUCUAAUCUUAAAUUCGAAGUUUUUUAUAGUAUUUAUUCUUUAGACUCUCUCUUGGAGUCGCUAGGUAUAUAGUGACAGUUAAAGAGUGUCGCUAUAACCUAAAAGAGUGCUGCUAAUUUACCAAAACUUAUUUAAGCAUUUAGCAACCGUCGAAAUUCUAUCUCGUUGGCUGCGGUGGCGGAGGAGGACGACAGAAAAGGCUCUUCGUCUAGAAUUUCAGUGGAUUGACUGAAGAGAGAAGAAAAGAUGGUAAUUAAUUUUUCUUUCUUUUUUUUCUUUUCUGUUUGUAAUCGGGCCAAAUGGACUGGCUGUGGUAAGUUGAGUAAAGUAAUCUUUUAUUUUUGGUUGGAUUGGGCUUUAUAUUUAGACAUUAGUAGAUGUUUUUUUUAAAUUUUAGUAUAAAUGGGACACUUACUCAAAAAUGUCCCAAACAUGUGUCCCUAUAACCUAAUUCUGUUGUAGUGAGAGAAGAAAAGAUGGUAAUUGAUUUUUCUUUUUUUUUUUUCUUUUCUGUUUGUAAUCGGGUCAAAUGGACUGGGUGUGGUGGGUUGAGUAGAGUAAUCUUUUAUUUUUGGUUGGAUUGGGCUUUAUAUUUAGGCAUAAGUAUAUAUUUUUUUAAGUUUUAGCAUAAAUGGGACACUUACUCAAAAGUGUCCCAAACAUGUGUCCCUGUAACCUAAUUCUGUUGUAGUGCUACCACCACCUACCACCACCUACCACUAUUAUCUCAACCCUACAUCUCUCCAUCUAAUGGUUAAAAAUUCAAAAACACCACCCCCUUGGUGCUUUUGAGAGUAUUCUGGUUCAACUCUCUCUCUCUCUCUCUAUAUAUAUACAUGAAUCCGGCUACUAUACUCUUAUGAGUACGAUCGCCUUCAUACUCAUAGGUUGUUUUUGAUGAUAGAGCUUCCAAAUCGACGAUCCAUAUCGUUAAACAUUAUCUAGAGCAUUUAAAACUUCUAGAAAUCAAAUUUUAAAAUUGUUCGAUAUCAUUUUCCCUACGAUCAAAAGCUCACAAAAUUGACAAUUUUUAACGAUCGGUAUGAGAUAUUUACUAGUUUAACGGUGAAAAAGAAUCGGAAUAGGUUGAAUUUUUAAUGAAAAAUUCUAUUCACUACCUAAAUAAAUAUCAAUCACUCCGAUCUUAGAUUGAAGAAUCUGAUCAUCUAUUUUUACGAUGUCGUUAGAUUUUAACCGUUCAUUUUAUACCUGCUUGAUGGACUUUAAAAUGAUUUCGAAAAAUUAGAAAAUUUAUUUUUUAAAAGUUUCAAAUACUCUAAAUCAUAUUUAACGGUGUGGAUCGUUAAUUCGAAAAUCCCAACAUCGAAAACAAUUUAUAAGUAUGAAAGGCUCUAUACUCAUAGGACUAUAGUAGCCUUACUCUAUAUAUAUAUAUAUAUAUAUAUAUAUAUAUAUAUAUAUAUAUAUAUAUAUAUAUAUAUAUAUAUAUGAGUGAUGCUACUAUGCUUUUGGAAGCGCGAAGCCUUCUGUGCUUCCAGGUCAUUUUCAAUGUUGCGACUUUCGAAUCGUCGAUCGGCUCCGUUAAACUUGAUCUAGAGUAUUUGAAGUAUCUAGAAAAUAAUUUUUAUGAUUUUUAGAUAUCAUUGACCUAGUGAUCGAAGGGCUCAAAAUUAAUAAUUUUAAUGGCCGUAGUGAGCCGUUUGCAAGUUUAACGAUGUAAAAAUAUCCAAAUCAUGUGAAAUUUUGAUAGAAAAUUCUUUAUACUAUAUAAAACAAGAUCAAUAUCAUUAAUCUAAAAUUUUAAUGUCAUAUUAUCACGUUUUGUAAGAUUUUUAUUUUCAGCCGUUGAUUUUGAGCCCCUUUGUUCACUAGGCACAUAAUAUCGAAAAAUCGCUUAAUUUAUUUUCUAGGUAUUUCAAAUACUCUAGAUCAAGUUUAACGGAGCCGAUUGACGAUUCAAAAGUCGCAACAUAGAAAACGAGCUGGAAGCACGGAAGGCUCCGUGUUUCCAGAAGUAUAGUAGCCUCUCUCUCUCUCUCUCUCUUUGUAUAUAUAUAUGCUCUUGUGCUUUCAAAAGCACGGAGGCCUCUAUACUUGUAAGUUAUUUUCAAUAAUAGAAAAUCUAAUUCGACGAUCGGCUCUGUUAGACAUGAUCUACGUUAUUAGAACCAUUUAAAAACCAAAUUUUAUAAUUUUUUGACUUCAUUUACCUAGUGAUCGACUAGUCUCAAAAUAAACAAUUGAAAAUAAAAAUCUCAUAAAAAAUAGUGAUAAAAGACUCGAAUUGCAAAUUAAACGUAUUGUUCACGAUGUUAAGUAGAAUUUUUAUUAAAGUUUAAUAUAAUUUGAAUUCUUCUACGCCAUUGAACUUACAAAUAUACCAUAUUGACUGUUAAAAUAGUCAUUUUUUAGACCCAUUCAUCACUUGAUAAAUAAUAUCAAAAAAUUAUGAAAUUUGAUUUUUAAAUAGUUCUAAAAGGUAGAUUAUGCUUUACGGAUCCAAUCGUCGAAUUAGACGUCUCAUCAUGGAAAAUAACUUACAAGUACGAAAGCCUCCAUACUUUCAAAAGCGCAGGAAAUGUACUCUUAGACACGGAGGCCUCCGUAUUUUCGAAAGCGCAAGAAACGUACUCUGNACCAUUAAAAUUAUAAAUUUUGAAACCCUUUGAUCAUUAGGUCAAUGAUGUCGAAAUGAUUUAAAAUUUGGUUUCUAUAUAUUUCAAGUGGUAUAGAUCAUGUUCAACAGCGUCGAUCGUCAAUUUAAAGACUCCAUCAUCGAAAACAAAUGGGUGGCAACGAAGCUAGUUUACUACCAAUAGCAUUCCAGCUCAACUAUAUAUAUAUAUAUAUAUAUAUAUAUAUAUAUAUAUAUAUAUAUAUAUAUAUAUAUAUAUAUAUAUAUAUAUAUACACUUCAAAAGCAAUAAUUAUUUUGUAAUCUGACCUGGGUAAAUAUGUAUGCCUGACGGUCCAGCAUGGCACGGCCCAUUAUUAUCUCUGGCUAUGCGAGCCACUAAUAUAAUAUGGUUCGAUGUCAUUUUUAUUAUUAUUAUUUUCUUGUAUUUUCUUAAAAAAUUGCUUUACCUUAUAAUAAAGUAAUCUAAAUUAGUAUUAAAAUGUCAAAUAAUGAUCAUACAGCUAUAAUCAGUUUACUAAAUAUAUAAUAAUGUCUAUAUUUUUUAAAACUCAUGCUACGGGAAUUUUAGAAAUGGGAUUAUAAAAUUAAUAAAUAAAUAUAGCUUGGCCCCCCACGCAAGGUACGGAUCAUAUUGUACCCUUCCUCCAUGUGCAACGACUUUUAAUGAAGUAAAAAAAAAAAAGAAAAUGAAAAAGAAAAAACAUCUCUAAUUUUUUGUUCGCCAAUAUUUUAGUGAGAAACAGGGCGUACGUACACGCGCGGCACACAUUUAAGGAUGGAUUUAAUAGAAAAUUAUGGUACAAAACUAAAAGAAAAAAAAAUUAUGAAGUUUUGUUUGAAUGUCGAAAUAAAUAUUUAAUGAUAAUUUUUUAUAUAGUAGAAAGAGAUUUCUUUUGUGUGUUGGAAAGUUACAAUCCAUUUUGCAUUUUAUUUUUUGAAAGUUCUUGAAAUGUAUAAUUUACUAGAAUAAUAUAUUUUAUCUAUCGAAUAAUUUACUUUAUUUUUAAAAAUAAUUUAAAAAUUAAAUAAAAUAUACGAUUAUAGAUAUAAAAAAUCAUAUUUUUUUAAAGUAAAUCAAAAGAAUUAUUGAAUUUAUAAAAUAUUUAUUCAUCCAAAUAAAGCUUAAAGAGUGGGCGGUUAUAAGUCAACACCUUGUUAAAAAGCCAUCGAUUUAUUAAACAUUAAUUUUAUUUUUUAUCUAAAGAUUAGAUUAAAUUUUUUUUUUUUAUAUUUUAGUAUUCAAAAACACUUUUAAUGAAUCUUAAAAUAGAGGUAAAAUUUAUACAUGGCAUCAUAGGGAGAUCCCUGUUCAAGUUUUGUCCGUACGUAACGUAUCUGCAUACGCAAAAUAAUAAUUUAUUAAAGUUCACGGGUGACGUGGUGAACGCGGUCCACGAAACAGUAGACCGAUCGAUACCCCACGUGGGAGGCGCACUUUGGCUGAAUCCUAUCCGGUGGGUCCCACUACUACUAAGGCUCGGAUUGGUUCGUAGAAAACGCGCGCGCACGACUUCCAAAGCAGAGGUCUCCUUUUCUUUCCCUAUUAAAACAAGGUUACUAUCACGAAGGAAACGUACGUAGGCCCCCCCCAUGCAUUUUCCCUCUUAUGGAAACCCCAACGAUGCUUCUUUUUAUAUAAAAAAACAAUAUUAAUUUGUCUCUUUAUUUAGUUGUUUAUUAUUUUAUGUUAUUUUAUUUUAUUUUAUUUUUGGUUAUGGUCCUGAAAAAGUCCUCAGACCUUGACCACUGCUAACCAUAUGUACAUGUUGGAAUAUAUAUAUAUACAUGGUAAUUGGGAGUACAAUUAUUGCAUGAUAGAAUACAUAUAUACAAAAGGUUUAUUCUAAAAUAAAAUAAUUCAAGGUAAAAUGUAUGAAAAUAAUAUUCAAAUAUGGUGAUUUGAUUCCUAUAUUCUUUACUUGGGUAUUAUACAAAAUUAUAGAUAAGUUUUACUUGUGAGUAAUUUGCUCAAACUUUGAAUUCGUUGGUCUCUGCAUCGUUUCGCACACGAGUUAUUUUUUUAAACAUGACAAUCUAUGUGCAUGUUUCUGUAUAUUUUUAUCUAUUAGUAAAAGCAACUAGAAUGGAAGACAUGUGCUUCCAAUUUUUUUCUUUUUUUUUUCCUAUCUUUUUGGUUUUCAGAAACUAUUUUAACAUACAAGAGUGUGCCUAUGAGUAGAGUAUAUUUUUUAUAGGCCUGGCACAAUUUUGAUACCAUGAGCAAGCAUGUCAAAUACAGUGUGUGGAUAUAAUUAAAAGCCUUAUAGAAAAGAAAACUCCACAAAAAAAAAGGUCACCUAAUGCUUUUAAGAUGCUCUAAAUUAAUUAAUUAUAGAGAUCUGAGCAAGUAAAACCAUAAAUUAAAUCAGUAGAGUUUUUUAAAGAAAUUUACAAUCUAAUUUUUUUUUGAAAUAAACUUUACAAUAAAAAUUGUCUUGAAAUCAACAAUUUUGAAAGUUUAAAAUGGACCAACUAACCUGGAUUUCCAUUGCAAAAAUAUAUUUAUAUAUUUAGAUCAAUAUUUUAAUUAGAAGUGUAUUAUAUCCAAAAUUAUAUAUGAUCUAUAUAUAUUCUCCAAAUGGAGAUGGUUUUGUACUUAAUAACUACAUUAAAAAUCAUAAAUGCUGGGGAAUGGCUCCUUGUUGGGGUGGGAAAUAAGGUUGAUAAAAGGUUGGUUAUGUUCUCUGCAUAUAGUACCAAGUGGCGCUUAUUGUUUCACAUCAUAUUACUCUAUUAUUGCCCACGUUCAGAGAACCAAAUUAAGUGCUUAUUCUGCUGGGAAUAGGGACUGCUGUUGCAUUUGCGGGUCAGAGGGAAUAAUUGGCCAAACAUAUGCAUCCACAUGUCACAAUAUAUAUAUAAAUAUAUAUAUAUAUAUAUAGAGAGAGAGAGAGAGAGAGUUAUGCUGAAAUACUAUUAAUAGUAUGAUAGUAUCCACUUUGUGAUCAUUGGAUGCCUAGGGUGUGAAACAACCGUUGUACUCUAAAAGCUUAAGCUGUUAAAGAACGGUAUUUAAACAUUUUUAUAUUUAACACUCCCCCUCACGUCUGGGCUCGAGACUUUUUUUUUGUCGGCCCAUGACGUGGGCUGAAUUAAAUGGGAGGAAAUUAAUAUACUAGGAGCCUGGCGUGACUCGAACUCAGGACUUCCUGCUCUGAUAUCAUGUGAAACAACCGUUGUACUCUAAAAGCUUAAGCUGUUAAAGAACGGUGUUUAAACAUAGGGCUGAGUAGAUGGUUUGUGUAAUAUAUAGUAAUGAUCCAAAGGAGGAAACAUGAAAGGUUUGUAUUAUUAAUAAUAUACCAGCUGAACUAUAUUUAUAUAUAAUAUAUAAUUAAGUUUCUAUGUUUUUAAAAGCACCAAAUUAUUGGUGCACAUAGGUUUUCGACCUUUGGAUAUGAAGAUUUGUCGGAUUAGGAUUAUUGCGGUUGAGUGAGUGGUUGAUUGAAUAGUAUAAUUUAACGGAUGGAAAUAGUCAAAGGGAUAGAUCUGACAACGGAAAACUUAUAAACAUUAAGUGAUUGAUGCUUUUGAAAACACCAUAGCCAGACUAUAUAUAUACAUAGAUGUUGUUUUCUAUAAUGUUUAGAUCACCUAAUAUUAUUUUAUUUUUGGCUAAAACACAUGAGAUAAUCCUUCCGAAUAUAAUACGAUUUACAUUUACUUCGACUUUUGCUGGUAUUAAAAACUUAUUAACAAUUUCUCUCAACCUUUUAUAGAUGUUGUUUUCGCUUAGGGCCCAUUUGAUAUUGAGGGGUAGUUAAUGCUAGAAGGCAAAACAAGUUGCGGCGAGUAUGUAGAAAUAUAUUUUUCUCUUUUGUAGUGAGACCGUGGAAAAUAUAUUUUAACCCUCUUUUUGAAUUCUAUUAUAGAACUAGGCUAAUAUACUAUUAAUAGCACCAAGUCAUUGGUGCUACCAAGUUUUUGGCCAUUGGAUUAAGAGAUGUGCGGUUAGGAUGAUGUGAGCCCCCAAGGGUUGAGUGGGUGGUUGGUUAAAUAGUAUGAUCUAACGGAUGAAAAUGAUCAAAAGGGUAGAUCUAACGGCAGAAAACUUGGUAGCACCAAGUGCUUCAUGCUAUUAAUAGCAUAGUAGCCGGACUCUUCUAUUAUAUAUCCAUAUGAAGUUAUAUUUUAAACUUUCCUUUUUCUAAAAAUAAAUGCCGAUCGAUAGGGAAGCCAUAGGAUAGCUGUCUAUUUGCUUCAUUAUUGUUUAUGGCUAGAAGUACCUCUUUAGUGACAUAGCUGAAAUAAGCUUUUGGCAUCUCAUAACUGAAGCUUAACUUAGUUUGAAUCUACCAUUUUUUCUAUAACAAGAAGCUGUUUAAAGAAUUUUAAUAUCUUGACUUGGUAAUGCUUAUCUUCUAAACAUCUCUAAUCGAAAUGAUCACACUUCUGUAGAAGCUUCAGCUUGACCAAACAGAUCUGUAAUGCUUAUAAUUAACUUGGCCUAAUAUUUUUGAACAUUUUUUCCACUCUAAAGUGCCUCAAUUAAUUAACCAUUCGACAAAAAAAAGAAGAAAAAUCUAAAAUUCAGUUGUGGCGAAAGGAUUGCUUAAUUUUUGUAAUUAUCCACAUUUGUUUGUUGUUAUGGUUUAAUUCCAUAAGGACCUAGCUACAUAUCAUAGAAUAGCUAGAUGUUCAAGUGGUGCAAUUUUAAACUCUAAGAGAAGGCAAAGUGGAAUUAUUCAAUACUGGCUAAGCGAUAAGUUGUUUCAUAAAUUUUUUAAUCAGCAAUUUGCAGGCUUUAAUAAUAAGGCUUAUGACUAUCACAUGCUAAUUAACCAUUAAAAAUGCUUAAGGUAAUAUGUUCUUUUGGAUUGAUCGGAGAAUUAAAAUAACAAAGAGAGGACAAAGAAAACGUGCUAUAUAUAACUUGGAAGAUAAAAAGUAAUUAACAAAAGUCCCCUCCCACCCAGGACAUUUAAUUUAAACUAUAGUAUCUGAUUUAUUCUGUAUACAUUGACAUUGAUCAUUUUUAUUGUUAUAUUUGAGUUAUCCAAAUUAGUUAAAUUAGAAUUAAGUUCUUAAAUUCACUAUUAGUUAACAUUUAGCUUCAAAGAAAUCAAAAGAGAGAUCAAUAAGAUUACAAAGUUGGGGGCCCUUUUAAUCUAGGGAUCGAUACUAUACAAAUUAACUUAUAAACAGUAAAGUUCAAUCAACGAACUAUUUUGAUUUUGAUCAUGACCAAUCGUUUGCCUUCUCUUUGCUUGAUCAUAAAACCGAAUGAUUGGAAAACAACAUACGCACUCUUUCUAUUCUAUUGAUGGCAAAAUAUAUAUGUAGCUUAUACGAUUAAUUGUUAGUGAUAUACCCUAAAGCCAAUCGGUGACACAGGCUUGUGAACAUAUUAAGUAUUUUUCUUAAUUAAUAAAUAGCAAGUUUUAUUCAUAUUUAUUGUUAGCAGUACAAUACAUAUAUAUGAAUCGUUCAUUGAAUCUUCGUUAAGAAAAUAUAUUCCUAAGAGUUAGGAAUUUGAGAUAUAUAUUUCUUUGUACAAGAUUCUUAAAUGUUCCUAGCCAUAGGAAUAUCAUAAGGACGAUGAUAUUUCCGGAUAGGCCGGUGUAAGCUGUACUUCUAAGUUGAGGUGACGAAUCUCAAGUCAUUAGUGUAGGGACACUAAAGUAAACAUGCAGGUGCUUGUUAGCGAACAAGUACACUGAGCAUGACCAUUUAAUUAGUUGAACAGUCACAUGGUUCUGAAUUCGCCAGUGACUAGUUCUUUGCUACAGUUGUGUGAAGUACUCCUUAGACCUGAGGCAUCAUAGUUGCUUCACAUGUAGAUUGCUACUGUUUAACUGUACUAAUACUUAGACUCUAAUCAUUGGUCUAUAUCUGGUACUGAUUGGUUGUAAUAGUUUAUAUGGGGAGGCAUGUGAAUGCGCAAUAAGGAAUUCAACACUCUCAAUAGUGAGAGAGAACGUCCCAUGUAGACUAUCGAACUUGACUCAAAAAAUCCUUGGCCAAGAUACGUGGUGUGUGGAAAGAGUUUCCAGUUGUGUUACCAUAUUGAGUUAGUUUUAGAUAUUCUAGUCAUAUGAUCGAAUAAUAAGAUUUGGCGAGUAACCAUAAUUUUAGUUCGAUCGGGACGUUGUGUGUUGGAAGGAAUUAAUCACACGGUAACGAUUAGCGGAAAGGUUCGUUUUUCAUCAUCAUUCUGGAUUGCGGUAAUAUAUUGCUAGGUGUCACUCGCGGACAGUGAGCAAAGUAAAAAUAAUUUAAAUAAAUUAUUUUAUAGAUUAGAAGAGUUCUAAUUCAAUAUUGAAGGGUUUGAUAUUGGACCUCAAUACCGAAUGAUAAUGAACCUAUGCGGUCACACACAAUAGGAAUUGUGUGCAUCCAACAUAAUAAGAUGAGUCUAAUACACUAAACAGUUUAGUGGAAAUAGUGAGAAUUAUAAUUUGAAUUUGAAUGUUGCGAAAGAUUUAAUCUCUAAUUAGAUUAGAGAAUAGUUAAAUAUUCAUAGAUUAUUAUGAGAUAAUAAUAUUCUAAUUAGAUUAGAUUUAAAUAUGAAUAUUUAAUUAUAAUUUAAUGGAUAAGAUCCAAUUAAAUUAAAGAGAGAGAUAAAAGAUGAGAUAUCCAUAUGAAUAAGCAUAAAUUUAUACUCAUCCUAUGUGGCAACUAAUUGGAUAUGAUCCAAUUAGUAUGCAUGGCAACUAAUUGGAUGUAAUCCAAUCAGUUGCAACAGGUAGUGGGAUGUGCCGGUUUGUAUGGCUUUAAUUAAAUCGUGGGAUUUAAUUAGUUGCAACAGAUUGUGACAUGUACAUAGGGCGCGGCUACAUUAGUAGUUAAUUGAGGAACUACGUGAGGAUAUAUAUAAUAUCUACACGAGAGGGAUUUAAUGAUUGCUUCUUGAGAAGUAUCAGAUAAUUCAUCUCUCUCUAUUAUCCUUCGUAAAAAUCAAUAACUCUCACAAAAGGGAAUGUGGAUAUCAUAAGACUGCUAGCACUUUGUAAUCUGCGAUUCAUCUGUUCCGUGCGAUGGAAGGUGUUGGAUCUGGAUCAAUUCCGUGUGGAUAUGCGUAGAGGCCGGGCACGUACGCGGCUAAUCGGAAUCUCAGUUUCAAUCGUACAGUAGAUCGGAAUCUCAGUUUCAAUCGUACAGUAGAUCAAGAGACCUUAACUGGCCCGAGGUAAUAUAGCCUGAACUUCAAAUCUGUUUAGGUUAGAUUAUUAUUUUACAUCGUAACAUGAGAAUGAUCCGCCGGCACUAGAUUGAUUUGUUUUGUUUUGGUUCAUAUUGAUAUGGAUAUUUGUUUUUCGAAAACAUGAUAUUUAUUUCCGCUGCGAUUUUUGUGCCGGAUAAUUUCUUACAUUAAUAACCUAUAGUACUCUUAUUUUGUCCAAAAAUUGGCUAUGUAAACCAAGAAAGAUUAUAUUAUUCGUAUGACACUAUUGUUAAAUAAUUGCAGCAGCAUCGUACUUAUUCUACACGAUUGAUCAGCUUUUCAACUAACCAAAUUGUAAAGUCUAUGGAUUGUCAAUAUUAAUUUGUUUUAAAACAACACUUAAAACAAAAUAAAGAAAUGAUCUCUAGCUGGCCGAGUGCUUAAUGAUUAUUAAUAAUAAAUGAAGCCCAAUGUUUACUAUCUUUCUCUCAAAAUAAUAAUAAUGAUAAUAAUAAUUGGUUUGUAUUAUAAUAUGUUUUGCUUUAUAUAUAUAUAUAUAUUUUUUAGAAAAAUAAAAAAAUAUCUUGUGUACGGACAAGGUGAUGAACUUCCAAUAGGGGAUGAUGAUGAUGAUGUAAUCAUUUGUUUGUCGUAUCUAGCCGCCGUACGUCAUUGGCCCACGUGAGUUACUGUGUACAUGCAUGUGGACCCCAUAUCCAAUAAUAACUAUAAUAAUUACUCUCUCUUCCCCUUAACCCCAUUUUACUGGUCAAACCCAUUCACCUCUCCCUUGAAUUGUUGAAUCCCCCCACUCAAACUAUAAAAACCCCUCCACCCCAACGUCCAAAAAUCGCAGCUCAAGUGUUUGUGUACAACCAACUAAGUAAUAAUCUCUAGCUUAGCUACUCUUGUUGUUGUUUUUUCUCUCAUAUCCCAAUGGAUUCUCCUAAUUCCUACUUCUCCUCGUCGUCGUCGUCGUCGUCGUCGUCGUCGGACUCGUCUUUGUUCGGCGAAUUCUUUCCUUUCGGCCCCGACGAUGCCGAGGAGAUGCUCUCCUUCGGCACGCUCGCCGACACUGGCGAAGGCGCGCCCCCCGAUGAGGCGAAAAAGAAUGGCGCGGAGGAGGGCGUGGCGGCGGCGGCGGGGAGAAAGGAGAGGAGCUAUAUAGGGGUGAGGCGGCGGCCGUGGGGGAAGUUCGCGGCGGAGAUACGGGACUCGACGCGGAACGGGGCGCGGGUGUGGCUGGGGACGUUCGACACGGAGGAGGCGGCGGCGCUGGCCUACGACCAGGCGGCGCUGUCGGUGCGAGGCGCGGCCGCGGUGCUCAACUUCUCCGAGGAGCGGGUGAGGGAGUCACUGGAGGGGCUGCAGUGGGGGGAGGAGGAGGAGGGGUGCUCCCCUGUGAUGGUGUUGAAGAAGAGACACUCCUUGAGGAGGAGUAGGGGUGGUGGUGGUGGUGGUGGUGUUGGUAGGAAGAGGAGGAGGAGGGUUGUGGUGAGCCAUGGAGAAGAGGAUGAUCAGGAGAUCAAAGAGGUGGUGAGGGUUGAGAAUGUUGUGGUGUUGGAGGAUUUGGGGGUGGAGUAUUUGGAAGAGAUUCUGAGAAUCUCAGAGAUUGCAAACACUACCUACUACUCCUCUACUGAAUUAUAGUAUAUUAACUUAGUUUGAUCCUUUGUUGUUAAUUUUCUUUUUUACUGUAACAAUAUCAUGAUUGAUCAAAUGGUAUAUGAUUACUUUAUUUAUUUAAUUAAUUAAGUUUUUUCUUUCUCCUCCUCCUCCUCCUCUACUCAUCCUCUUCUCCUCUUCCUCCGUCGCAAGCUACCGUUGUCGAUCGACGCAUUCAUAUAUGAUUUCCCAUAUAUGAAUUUCAUUUGUGAUUUGUUUUUGUCUAAUUUGUCCAUCCUUUAUUUAUUCAUCUUUUAUAUCCUAAUAAAAAUUUCUUGAUAUAAUUAAUGAUACAAUUAAUCACUGAUUUAAUAUGUGAAUUAAUGUAUCCCUAGCCUUUUUGCUCCUCCUCUUCCUUUGUGUUCAUGUUGUUUGCUUUUGUUCUAAUUUGUCCAUGCUUAUUUUUUUUUUUCAUAUAUUUUAAUAAUUUCCUUAUAUAUAUAUGUACAUGUGAGUGAAUAUAUAUCAUCUAUAUAAACUUGUCUUUCUCCUCCUCCACUCAUCCUUAAUUCUCCUCGUCAUCCUUAGUUGAGAUGAGGUCAACAAAGGAUGAAUAAAAACAAAAAAGAAAAAAAAAAGAAGGAUCCAAGAAGAGGCACAAAAUAUAAUAUUGUAUAAUUUCCAGAAAAAAUGUCAAUACAAUUUUUUAAAAAAAAAAAUUAACAGUAAGAGUUUAAUUAAGUGAUAGUAAUGUUUUGAUAGAGAGGUUCCAAGUGGUUGUGGAUAGAGACAAUAUUGUGCCACUUGCAAAAUUACAGGGUUAAUUAAUUAACCUUAUUUUCAUUCACAUCAAUAUAUGUUUACCUUAAAUUUAAUCAUAUUUAUAAUAUAGAUUUGUAUACUUUGCUGGAUAGUAAUUUCCUACAAAACUAUUUUUUGAGGAGUCACUCAUUUCAUGAAAUUAAAGUUGGUUUUUAUUAAUUUGGAAGUCCCCAAAUUGAAUUUUUUUGUUUUUUUAGCUCAAUUUUAUUGUGAUGGAGUGGACGGCGAAUGGACUUUAUUCUUGUUAUUAUUGUUUAGCCAGAAAGCUCAUCUUGUUUCAGAAAAACAAAUAUCGAUCGUGGCGUAAAAACUUAUAAUAACUUAAUUUUUGUUUUAUGUUGCUAAAUAAACCAUAUAAAUAUGUAGAUAUCUAGCAAGAAAUUCACCAUGCUACAGUACAUUCAAUCGUAUAAAAUUUGAGAUUAAAGAAAAAAAGGAAACGAAAAACUUAAUUAGUGUAACCAAACAAGUCCUAAUGAGCUUCGAAUUGUUUGACACGUUAUCAAAUUUCAAAUUUUGUAACAAUCAUGAUCACUAUGCUCUAUUAUGAUAUAAUUUUAUCAGAAUUGAUCGAUUCGUUAAUUUAAUUACAAUUGUUUGAUCUCCAUAUAUAUGUAUAUGGUUGGUAACUGAUUCUACAGUUCCUUUAAUUGGUAAAAAAAAAAAAAAAAAAAGUUAGAGAAAUGAAGAAAGUGUAGAGAGUUUAAAGUCCAACUCCUUUUUUUGUGAAUAAUAUUCUGUUUUGAUCGAGGGUUGCUACUAAAAUUAGUAUCGGAGUUGAAAAUUUCAAAAUUUCAAGCUCAAAUCAGCGAUAAAUAUUUUCUCUACCAAGUGGAAAUUGAAGAUUAAUAAUAUUUUGUGUUAGUAGAUUAAUUAGAUAAAAUGUCAGAUCAUUAUUAAUCCUUCUUCAAAUUGUUAAAUUGUAUGAAACAACCAUUUAUCUUCAGUAGCUUAAGCUUAUCAGAGAACGGUAUUUUUAAUAUUUAUAUUUAACACUUCUCAUCACGUUUAAGCUCGAGACCUCGUGAUAGGCUCAAGAUGUAACUUGAAUUAAUUGGAAAGAAAUUAAAUAAUGUUAGGAUCGUAAUCGGACUCGAACUCAGAACCUAUUAAUUAAACAACCAUUAUUCUCCAAAAAUUUAAAUUACUACAGAAUGGUGUCUUUAUUCAACAAAAGUCACAUCAGUUGUCAACACAUUGGAGAUUUUUGUGGAGGCACUGAAAUAAAAUUUAAAAUGGAAUCGCAUACUUUGCUAAAAACAAAGAUCAACAGUGUAGAAAAUUAGAAACUCUCCUAAAUUCAGUGCACAAAAUGUAAUUAAGACUUUUGGAUUAUAUAUAUACAUGGAAAUUACUAUAGAUGGUACUGUAGUUUUAGUUGGAAAAGGUGGAAUUAAUUCAACGUUCAUUUGUCAAAUGAAAUAAAUAAAAGAAGCUGGUACAAUAUGGAAAAAUAAAGCCAAUAAGGUGACAGUAGAAAAAGCCAAAGUCAAAGUAUCAGAUCUGAUACAGGGGUUAUCAUGAAUGCAUCACCACUAGCUUGUUUCUUUUCAUUGAUUAAUUUGAAGGGUUAUUUAAUUUAUAUUUAUAUCAUCAUAAUGAGGAAAUUUCCAUAGUCAAGAACUGUGGGCAGAUCAAAUUAAGCAGUGUUUUCUUGCCUUUUUGUAAGAGAAAUUUAGUAUAAGCAGUAGGAAUUUGUACAUGGAAAUUAAGCUAGAUGCGAAAGCAAAAGUAAAUUUGGUAUAAAAUUGGAAACCCAAGCAAUAAUUUGGCUUUAAAAACAAAAAGGGCUAAAAUGAGCAUAACCCGAUCUUUAUCAGUUUACUCCUUUCGCAAUUCUUUCGCAAUUCUGAUGUCACUCUCGUAGAAUAUUAGAAAAUGUGAAAAUGUAAUUUCAAAAUAAUUAUAUAAUUCUUAUAUCGAUAUAUAUUCUUUGUUAGGGAGUUUUGGACUCAGCUCGGACCUAUAUGAGUCCAAAGAUAUGACUUAUCUAAUGGAAGCUUAGGCCACAUAUAUAUAUAUAUAUAUAUAUAUAUAUAUAGAAUUAGGCUGGAAUACUAUUAAUAGUAAAAUGCUCUUUUUGCUAUCAAGUUUUUAACCCUUGGAUGAAAAAUUGUAGGGUCAGGAUGAUAUUAGUCGGUUAGAGUUGAGUGGUCCCCCUAGGGUUGAGUGGUCCCCACUGGGUUAUAGUAUUUAAUCCAAUGGUUAGAAAUAAUNCUCUCUCUCUCUCUAUAUAUAUAUAUAUAUAGAGUUGAGCUAUGAUACUUUUACAAGUAUCACCAUCAUGGUGCUAUUAGGUUUUAAGCCAUUGGAUCUACUUUUUGAUUAUUAAUAGCCAUUGGAUUAAACACUAUUCCACCUACCACCACCUACCACCAUCAUCUCAACCUCACAUCUCUCCAUCCAAGGGCUAAAAACACACAAGUAUCACCCCCAUGAUACUUUUACAAGUAUUCUAGCCCUACUAUAUAUAUAUAUAUAUAGAGUGGGCUGAUAUGCUUCUGGAAGCACGAAGCCCUCCGUGCUUCCAAGUUGUUUUCGAUGUUGGGACUUUCGAAUCGACGAUCGACUCCGUUAGAGUUGUUCUAGAGUACUUGAAGUAUCUAGAAAAUAAAUUUUGUGAUUUUUCGAUAUCAUUUGCCUAGUGAGUGAAGGGCUCAAAAUCAAUAAUUUUAAUGCCCGUGGUGAACCGUUUGCAAGUUUACGGUGUAGAAAUAUCCAAAUCAUAUGAAAUUUUAAUAGAAAAUUUUUUUAUACCAUAUAAAACAACAUCAAUAACUUUGAUCUAAAAUGUUAAUGUCAUAUCAUCAUAUUUUGUAACAUUUUUAUUUUGAGCCGUUGAUUUUGAGCCACUUCGAUCACUAGGCAAAUAAUAUUGAAAAAUCGCAAAAAUUAUUUUCUAGAUACUUCAAAUACUCUAGAUCAAGUAUAACGGAGCCGAUCGUCAAUUUGAAAGUCCGAAUAUCGAAAACAACUUGAAAGCACGGAGCACUCUGUGCUUCUAGAAGCAUACCAGACACACUAUAUAUAUAUAUAUAGAAUUAGGCUGGAAUACUAUUAAUAGUAAAACCCUCUUUUUGCUAUCAAGUUUUUAACCCUUGGAUGAAAAAUUGUAGGGUCAAGAUGAUAAUAGUCGGUUAGAGUUGAGUGGUCCCCCUACGGUUAAGUGGUCCCCACUGAGUUAUAAUAUUUAAUCCAAUGGUUAGAAAUAAUGAAAAGAGUUGAUCCAAAGGCUAAAAAACUGGUAGCAAUAAUGGUAUUUUGCUACUAAUAGUAGCCCAGUCCAACUCUCUCUCUCUCUCUCUCUCUCUCUCUCUCCGUCGGACCUGCCCUCCGCCCUCAUCUCCGCAGUUGCUCUCUCUCUUCUAAUAAUAUAUAUAUAUAUAAUAUAUCAUAGUCCGACUCCCGUACUUUCGAAAGUACGGGAGGCCCCUGCUUAUAAGUUUGUUCUGAUGAAGGACGUUCAAUCUACGAUCGGCUCUGUUAGGUAUGAUCUAACCCUAUUGGAACUAUCUAGAAACCAAAUUUUAGAUUUUUUUUAGCAUCAUUAACUAAGCGAUCAAAAGUCUAAAAAAUGACUAUUUUAACGGUCGAUGUGGCACAUUUUUAAGUUCAACGGAUGUAGAAGUAUUCAAAUUAACAUGAAAAUUUAAUAGAAAUUCUACUUAACAUCAGUAGCAAGAUCAAUACUUCCGAUUUAAAAUUUGAUCCUUUAUCACUAUUUUUAUGAGAUUUUCAUUUCACCGUUCAUUUUUGAGGCUACUCGUUCACUAGACAAACGAAAUAAAAAAAUUAUGAAAUUUGGUUUCUAAUAGUUCCAAUAGCGUAGAUCAAGUUUAACGGAACGAUCGCCGAAUCGGAUUGUCCAUCAACGAAAACAACUACAAGCACGGGCGCUCCCGUACUUUCGAAAAUUUUUUUUUCACUAGUUAGAGUAAAUCAGUACCUCUGGAUAGUAUACCGUCUAGUUAUAUAUAUAGAGUAAGAUCAUGUCGAAAAACAUCUUUUUAUAAUUUUUUUUCACUAUUAGAGUAAGAUCAGUACCUCUAAUCUUAAAUUCAGUAUUUUAUCAUUAUUUUUAUGAAAUUUUUUAUUUUCAGCCAUUCAUUUUUCGAUUACUCCGUUGAUAGGUAAAUAAUGCCCAAAAAUUAUGAAUUUAGUUUCCAAAUACUUUUAAUAGUGUUAGAUUAAGUCUAACGGACCGUUCAUCGAUUUAAAAGCCGCAUCAUUAAAAACAAACUUAACGACUUGGUAGCACUACCGAUAGUAUACCAGCCUAGCUUAUAUAUAUAUAUAUAUAUAUAUAGAUAUAGAGAGAGAGAAAGAGAGAGAAGAAGGAGAGAGAGAGAGAGAGAGAGCGCCAGGCCGGUUCUAUAAUAGCACCAAUGACUGGUGCUAUUAAGUUUUCUAGCCAUUGGAUUAAAAAAUGUGCGUUAGAAUGAUGUGGCCUCCUAAGAUUUGAGUGGGUGGUCAUUUGAAUAGUAUUUCGAACGGAUGAAAAAAAAAGAGUUAAUCUCAUACAUGUCCAACCUAGCUCCGAUAGUAUAACAACCUAGCUAUAUAUAUAUAUAUAUAUAUAGAGAGAGAGAAGCAGAGAGAGAGAGAGAGCUAGGUUAGAUCUAUCGCGGUAGCACGGAGGCCUCCGUGCUACCAAGUUAUUUGCAAUGAUGCGGCUUCCAAAUCGACGAUCGGUUCGGUUAGACUUGAUUUACACUAUUAAAAGUCUUUGGCAACUAAAUUUUAUAAUUUUUCGAUAUCAUUUACUAAUCAAACGAGUAGUUGAAAAAUAAACGGCUAAAAAUAAAAAUCUCAUAAAAAAUGAUGAUAAAAGAUUUAAAUUUAAAAUCAGAGGUACUGAUCUUACUCUAAAUAGUAAAAAAAAAUUUCUAUAAAAAUUUCAUCAGAUUUGAAUUGUUUUACACCGUUAAAUUCACAAAUGCAUCAUAUCGAUCAUUAAAAUUGUCAAUUUUGAGACCCUUUGAUCACUAGCCAAAUGAUGUCGAAAAAUUAUGAAAUUUAGUUUUCAAAUACUUUUAAUAGUGUAGAUUAAGUCUAAUGAAGCCGAUUGUCGAUUUGAAAGCCGCAUCAUUGAAAACAACUUAGUUUACCGAUAGUAUACCAACUUAGCUCUCUCUCUCUCUUUCUCUCUCUCUCUCUCUCUCUCUCUCUCUCUCUAUAUAUAUAUAUAUAUAUAAUCUUCUGAUAUGGAACUACUCAUAUUAGUGUGAACUCAGUAAUAUUCUUUUCCGUAUUAUUAACAAACUUACCAUUAACUUUUUCUUCAAAUUGUGAGCAACAGAAGCAUUAAGUUGGUCGCGAACAUGAGAACGAAUAUCCGGAUAUUAUUUUUCCAUCACACAAUGCCUAUAGUAGAUAUUUACAAUAAAAUUUCAAAAUUUUCAAAUAUUUUGUGGACGAUAAAAUUACAGAGGAAUUUAAGCUUUUAUACAUUUUUAUCAAGAGGAGAAGAACACAAAUAUUCUAAUUUAUCUGAAAAGUUACAUGAAUUUUAGCCUUUAAAAUAAGCACAAUAUAUAGGGAAAUUAAGUAAAAGCACCACAAAAAAUCAGUAUACUAGAAACUGCAAAUAAAUAAUAUCAUCUAUGGAAAAAUCAUAUAUAUGUGAGAAUAAUAUUGUGGUCCCAUGAGAAAGGUGAAUUCAAUAUUAAUUUGUCAAACCAAAUAAAACAAGCUUAGCUUAUACAAAAGAGGCCAAGUGAACUACCACAUCUGUUGUACCUAUGUUAUCAUCUUCUCAUUUAUAGUUUGACUAGAAAAAAAUUAUAUGAGAUGGGGAAUUGAUAGUCUAAAUUUGUGGGCAGUGUAUGUUCGUAGUACAUUUUUCUCCCCUUCAAAAAAUAAAUUAUAAGGUGUAGGACAUUUUAUUUUCAAAGCAUGAGUAUAUAUAUAUAUAUCCUGAGUAUUUUAUAAAUUUCAUGAUACUAAGAAAUACGACUAAGUCUAGGAAGAGUUUGGAUGUACUUUUAUAUAUAUCUCAACUGUACCAUGGGAGUUGGUUGAGAUCAAUCACUUUCUUUUUGGUCACACCUUCGAUUUCUAUAUAUUUUCAAUUAAAAAGUCCAAAUAUUCUACAAAAUGAGAAAACGUUAUUUACUUUAUUCUCUGAGAAGAUAAAUUCUAAUUUGAAAAUUCUAAUUUUAUGCAGUUUGAGAUGGACGGCGAUCGAUAGUGUUUCAUUAAAUAUCACUAUACCUUGCAGUGAAGCUAAUGCGUCCGGACAAAAAUUUUGUAGGCAUCGUCCCCAAACAAAUUGUUUGGAGACGAUGCCGAUAGGCGCCCAUCGCGACCCUCGGAAACAAAAAAAAAAAAAUUAUGGGCUCCAAUUUUUUAUAGAGAGAGAGAGAGAGAGAGAGAGAGACGGUCGUGAUGGGCGCCCGCACACCACACGGCGCCCAUCGGCUCCGUCUCCAAACAACUUAAUUGUUUGGGGGCAGAUGCCCGCAAAAUUUUUGUCCAAUGCGUCCUAUGUGUUUGUUCAAUCUUGAGCUUUGAAAAGCCUCGUCCUUCCGGGAAGCUGAGAGUUUAUUUAAACUUUUGGCUAUAAAAGCAUUGUACUUUUUAUUUGUUAUUUAUGGUGUAUUAUUUUUCAACGGCAGAAAGAAAAAAAAAAAUUAUCAUAAAAAUAAGACCAAGGAGAUGCCAAAUAAGGUUGAAAGAAGUUUUUUCUCGAGGCCUAUUUUGAUAUAUGUUGGAAUAAGUUGUAUAGUGAUAACGAUCUCCAAAACCAACCUAAAUUUGAGAUUAGGGGAAUGAGCUUCAACUUGACUCGAAUCACAAAUUUCAAUUAGAUUACUAGACUACGAAUUCGGAUAGAAUUUGAAUCAAGAUGUUCCGACCUGAAACUCUUUUCGAUGAGUCUACAGUAAGCCUGGUUUGGGUCAUGUAUAUAUUUUUCUUAGGGAAAACUUCAAAAACCCCCACCUGUGGUUUCACACUUUCUCACUUUAGUACCCUGUGGUUUAAAGUGUAUCAAUUUAGUGCUCUGUGAUUUCAUUUUUCUCUUUUUAUUAUCAAUUUCAUUAUUUUUUUUCUUUAAAUCAAUGACAAAGUUAAAAUUAAAGGAUAUUAAAGUAAAUAUUUAAUAAAUCUAGGUGGGUAUCUGAAGUUUUUUUAUAUAUAAUUUAACGAAAUAUUAACGAAAAAGCUGCCAAAAAGAUAAAAAUGAAACCACAAGGCAUCAAAUUGAUACACUUUAAAUCACAGGGUACUAAAGUGAUGAGAAAAUGCGAAACCACAUGAGGAAUUUUUGAAGUUUUCCCCUUAGAUUGGUUUGGAUCAAGUUGCUUAAGGUUGGAUUAGCUAAGAUUUUGUUACUAUUGAGUUGAAAGGAUGUAACAUAUGUUCUUGGGUGAAAAUGGAUUAAAGGUUUGGGUGAAUUUCUCCAUAAACUGUUGUUGGAAGGGUCAUGAUUAUGAAUGAUGUUCCAUUGAUUGAGUUCGAAAUUUGUUCGUUCGAUUUGAUCAGUCACUGAAAACCUGCCCAGUUCAGAUUUAGAUUUGGGGUUCAGGUUGAACUGGUCAAAUCGAUUUAGAGUUGAGCUUUAUAGUUUUAUUACUUGAGAUCAACCCAAACUAAGUAUAGAUGCACUUCUAUGAAGUGCAACAUUAUUAGCCCUACUAACCCUAGAAAAAAUUAACUAUAAAUUCAAAUAAAUAUGGGACCAUGCAUGCUACCCUAAUGAAACUAACACUUUGUUUUUUCUUCUUUCUUUCAAUUUGUUCUCUUUUUUUUUUUCCUUCAAUGGAAAGGGUUACUUGCUCCAUUCACUCCUCAACUUUUGAAUGGAAAGGGUUAUUUAUAUUGUUUUAGUUUAAGUCUUUACCAUAAAAAAUGACGAUAAAUUAAUCGGACAAUCGAUAUUUACCACGUGACGAGGUUCGGUGCUGAUGUAGUAAAAAUGAUUUAAUACUGAUACGACGAUUACCAUUAGAACUAAUAGUAACACUCAGCCCACCGAUAGUAAUAACUCGCUAGACCGAAAGCAUUCGCCCAAAAUGCUUCACUAACCACAGUUAUAAGAGACCAUAACGUUCACGUUAUGUCCAAUUUUUUAGUCAUUCUCUAACUUAAAAAAAUCAUCAAACAAUGUGAGACAUAUAUCACAUUUUCGGCCCGAAAAAACGACUGAACCCUCUCGCACUAAUAUCUCACUCGGAACAAAACUACCGACUCAAAAUAGUUAAGCUCAGUUAUUCAAACUAGAGUUAUAGUGGCCAUAGGCCCAUUUUGGCCCAAUUAAAUUAUAGCCCACUUGGUUAUGGGCCCAAGCCCAAGUAGCUACCGUUAGAUGUAUCGGCAAAUAAAAGUGUCGGGAAAUUAGGGUUUCCACCGCGAAUCCUCUUCUUCUUCUUCGUCUUCUUCUUCCCCGAGCAAUUCACCUCGAAUCCCUCGUCCAUGGCCGCUUCUCGCGUGCUUCAGCGGCGCCUCGCCUCUUUGCUCCGUCCCAAUCGACCCCCGUCUCUCGUCUCCCCAGGUUGUUCUUCGCCUCUCGCCCUGAUUUCGCUCUUCUUUGUUGUUCUCUUGAUGCUGUGUAUGCUGAUGUUGUUGGUGGAUAUGAAAACAAGCAGAGGAAAUAGAGAAAUUGGUGUUUGUAAAGACUCGAUCUUUGCAUGCUAAAUGCUUCUUAAUUGCUUUACUUUUGCUUUUAGUUUACUGGAUUUUGCUCGAGAGCUUGCCCUUUUUCCCCACUGUAUUGUCGAUUGGGUAGUGGCUCUUUAGGGUUUUAUGUGAUUCCAUUUUUGCCGUUUACUCUUUUUUUUUUGUUUUUGAGAUAGUUUAGGAGGAAUUUAAAUCAAACAGGUUGAUGGGGUUGUGCACUUAAUGAACUUAAACCAUUAUUUGCUGAUCUCCAAUAAGGUUUUAGAAACUUAUGACAAUGGUUGUUUUUGAUCCUUUUCAUAAUCAUAAUCACUUUUGGAUCAUCAUUCAUGUUCAAUCAUGAUCUGUUGAUAUCUAUGUAGUUGUACCCCAAAGCUGUGGAGUUGCAGGGGUGGUAAUUAUAGGACACAAAAUAUAGAGUAUAUAUGGCUCAUGAACUCUGUUUUUGGCUUUAAAAAUGUGAGAAAUCGAAUAAUUCAUUGAGCCAACAAAUUAUAUUCUGUAAUAAUAGACCAUCCCUCCGUGGCGUGUGGAAAAUGCAAACCAUUUCUAUCCGACCUUGUUCUUGCCUAUUAACUGAUUUUUUGGUGAAUUGAGAUUCUAUUCAGAACUUUUCAGAAUAAAUAAGAUCGCUGAUGUUGUUCUUUUAGUUUAGUACUUAGCUACUUGCUUUCGAUAUACUCUCAACUGAAUAUUGUUUUUGUCAUAGUGCUAUUUUCAUCUAUAUCAGGUCUAGUUUUUGAGCUAUGAGAGGAUCGUCUUUUUUGAGAAGCCGCGUAGAUUAUCGGCUGUUGAUAUGUUAUCUUUCUUUCCCUGAGAAAAUUUUGCUUAUGAAGCUACUAAGUAUAGGCACAUUAUACUGAGAUAACCAUGAUUGGUAUUUGUCUCCAUGUUACAUGAUCCAAAAGGCACUUUCUAAGUAAUUUUUUCAUCCUUGUUCAUACAUAGAUCAUGUAUGAAUGGAUAUAAACAUUGGUUGCAUCGGGAGACAUCUUCUUUCAUCGGAAUCAACGACGCGUGUUUCUUUAAGGCGUAUACCAUUCUUCAGUUGCUUCCUUUUCGUUCGUACUCUUCUUGUCUACGGGUUUCUGUUGCAUAGCUUUCAAAUUUUGGGUGUGUUGUGUCAUUCUUUUAACCUGUUAGUUAUGUGUAUGAAGUGGCGAAAUCUAACUAUUCAUAAAUUGCUAUUGUAGGAAGUACAUGGUCAUCAUAUGUAAUAGGAGGUAUAAGAAGUACACAAACAAUGACGAACUUGAUUACCGUAGAAGAUAACGGCAACACCGAGGAUCAUGAAGCAAGCCAGAAUCACUCAAAACCGGUCUCCAACCCGAGUGAUCGUACUAGCCCUAACACUACCAGAGAGUCCAAUGUGAGAUACUCCGCAUUCUCAAACCUAAAAUCAUCGCAGAGGCACGACCUCGCCAUGAUAUUCACGUGCAAGGUGUGUGAGACCCGGUCGGUGAAGACGGUGUGCCGUGAGUCCUACGAGAAGGGCGUCGUGGUUGCCCGGUGCGGGGGGUGCAGCAACCUCCAUUUGAUCUCCGACCGGCUUGGGUGGUUCGGUGAGCCCGGAAGCGUCGAAGAUUUCCUGGCGGCACGAGGAGAGGAGGUGAAGAGAGGUUCUGCAGAUACCUUGAAUCUUACCUUAGAGGAUUUGGCCGGAAAUAAGUCAUCGUGAUCUUCUGGAUUUUAGGGGAUGUUCGGUUGGAUAACUGUUAUAAAUAUAGUGUAAUUGAAGAUGCAUUUAAUCAAAAAUAUAAUAGUCACAACUGCUUUACAACUAUAACUAUAAUUUGUUUGGCUGCAUAAAAAGUGAUUAAGAAUGUAAGUUUUUUUUUGUUUAAAAUUACUUUUUUCAAUUGUUACAAUUACAGUGUAGUUACAACUACAUAUACCAAACAAUCCCUUAGCCUCCGUUUGGUUGGGGGUUAAGGGGUGGAAUAACGCCUUAACCCCUAUUUUAUCUCCAAACACAUUUAAAAAUGGGUGGAGUUAGCUAACCACAGCUAACCCCACCUCAAAUGGGUUAUUCCGGAUUAGCUAAUCCCACCUAAACCCCAACCAAACACUAUUUUCUAUUCAUAAUAAUCCACUAUCCUUCUUAUCCCACCUAUUCCAACCAAACACUAUUUUUCACUAUCCUGAACUAACUCCAACCCCUAACCAAACACAAAAAUACUCUAACCCCACCUUAACCCUAAACUUAACCCUAUCCCUGAAAUAACUAAUUUUUUCUUAACCCCGAACCAAACGGUAGCUUAGGAUAUUUUGACGAAAUUCUAUGCGAGUACUUCAUAUAUCCUGGUCUCAACUUUGUUUCCUAGUUGGUAUUGAAGAAAAGAAUCUAGGGGUGAAGUAUCUAUUGUAAGAAACCUUCUAGUCAUGGAUACAAUAUUGUUAUAAAGCAAAGCUAGUUAUGAUUAUUUAAACAGGAAGAAGCAAAUUAUAAAAGCCAAAAAAAAAAGUUAAAAGGUCACAAGUUCAAUAUUUGUAAGUGAAAUUUAAACAGAGUACAUUGGACAGAUUAGAGAAUAAAACAUACACUGAAGAAUAGCAAUUUCCUGAAGAUGUUACGAGGUAGCUAAAACAUGUUCAACAUAAACUUGAGGCUUUUGUCUGUAAUAAUCAACUUCAUAAAAUAUGCAACUGCUGUAAAUAAGCAGCUUAUGAACUGCCUCCACUGUGUACUAAAAAGGUCAUCAUCAUCUUAGGGUUUAACUGUAUAAAUCAUCAUCGUCCGCUGAGGCACCAGAAGCAGCAAAUGGGUCGGCCACGGCGGCUCCCGCACCAGCCUCAGACCGCUCUGAGAAGCGGAACUCACUGCCGAACCCCCUCGAUUGCUGUAAAGUCUGCGCGAAUGCCUGGUAUUUCCUGAUGUCGGCGUCGCUGACACUCCGACGCGCGUACUUCAUGGAUUCCUCGAAAUGGACGGCCUUGAUCUCCGCCACGUCGUUGGCGUCGUCGUCUUCCUCCAUUGCUUCCGGGUUCUCCCUCUUCCUCCUCUCUCUUUCUAUAUCCUGUAGCAUAGACAGCAUGAUAUUUAGCCAUUUAAGUGUCAAGCAUCAGUGGCUAGCAAGAAUACCCAUGGAUUUGGAUCGGCUAGCCCACUAUAUUUUUUUCCUCAAAUUUAAAUGAAAUCAAAAGGAAUAGAAGAGUUAUCUAAUCUCAAACCAAAAUAAUACAACAAAACAAGAAAUCGCGGGCUCCUUCAGGGUAAAAUGAAAAAACAGCCAGAAACUGGAGCUCAGCUCGCUUCGCAGAGAUGAAAAAGGGAAUCUAGUAGUAAUUAUGAGGAACAUGCACAAUUCUAGCCAACUAACGAGGAAUCAAUAAGGAUUAACAACAAACCAAACAUAUUCUGCGAAAAUACAAAUGCCAGUAGCUCACCUUCUCAAUGUUCUCUCUAAUGGCAUAUUUGCAAGCCCGCUGGCAAAUCUCUGUGAUAUCUGCACCGCUAAAGCCUUGGGUGUACUUCGCAAGGGCGUGCAAAUCCACAUCCUUAGCGACAGGGGACUUCCUAAGGCAAGCUUUGAAAAUCUGGUGGCGAGAAGCCUCAUCAGGCAAAGGAAUAUAAAUUAAUUGGUCCAGCCGUCCUGGCCUUAGUAGCGCCGGGUCAAUAAUGUCGGGUCUGUUGGUCGCUCCAAUAAUAAAGACAGUUUUCUUAGCAGACAUUCCAUCCAUCUCUGUCAAGAGCUGGUUGAGAACCCUGUCUGCAGCGCCUCCUGCAUCUCCCACACUGCUACCUCUCUGCAAUGAAAGGUUACAAAGUUUACAUAAGGAAAAAGAAGUUGAAGCUCCUUAAGAGUAAAUUUUAGGUGCACUAUGUGGGUAUGCUUGGCCCCAGCUGGAGCUUCUGCUGGACAGCCAGUAGAGCUGUUCAAGAAUCCCAAACAGUUUCAUUAUAAUUUGUACAACUUAACACCGAGUUAGAAGUUAUUCCAGAUCGAAGUUUUGCUUCCGAGAUUAAAAAGUCUAUCAGGUUUCCUCGUUUACAGCUCUGUUUUUUAUUUUUUCCGGCUUUUGGUAACCAAACAAGUAACUCAUUGCUUCUGUAGUGGAAAGCUACUGGAAAGCCAAGGAUAAAUUAAUAUGUAAGUCAUAAAUAUUCUGACUCUGUUGGAGGGGUGCAAUGACAAAGUAUGGGGGCUCAAUUGCAGAUGUUCAUCAUUCCCCGACUAGGGGCAGUAAAUGGCGGUACGAACAGCAGAGCAGAUUUGAAACCACAAUGCAAAUGAAAUAAGUGAUAAAUGGUCGAGAUUGAGCCCUCAAUUUUUUCUCUUUCCAACAAUAUGACAUACGCUUUCUAUUAAAAAAUUUGUUCCAAGAAUCCGGCCAAACAGGCAUUAUGUAAAUGUAAAUGUGUCCGAGUAUAGAAUAGGAUCGUAUGACAAACCUGGGUUGCAAUGGAAUCGAGCUCAUCAAAGAAGAGGACGCAUGGCGCAGAUUGGCGAGCCUUGUCGAAAAUUUCACGAACAUUCGCUUCACUCUCGCCAAACCACAUGGUGAGCAGUUCAGGACCCUUCACACUGAUGAAGUUUGCUUGGCAUUCAUUAGCAAUGGCCUUCGCCAACAAAGUUUUGCCACAACCAGGUGGUCCGUAGAACAGGACUCCCUUGGAAGGCGACAUGCCAAACUUCUCAAACUUCUCGGGAUGCUCAACUGGAUAUUGGACGGUCUAGAAAAACACCAUGAGAAAAAUUUAGCUGCUAACUGAGAGUAUAAAUCAGGGAGGAAAUAUACAUAUCCAGCAAAAUCAUCUAUUUACAUAUAUAGAAUCUAAAAUCCUGAAUUUUCAUACAUAACACUUCAAAGAAAAGCUUCUUACGGAAUGCCCUUUAUUCUACAUUUGAUCGUUGGUGGGUUGUUAUUGGACAGGAAAAGUUUUUCAAAGAAGGCAUUUUUAGUAAGUACAAGGGCAUAUCUGAACAUUCAGAUUUUGGAGAAAUGCACAAGUGAGAAUAAAUAAUUAGUUGAAGUACAUGUGUAAAAUAUCAAGUAAAAAAGGCCAGCUCUUGAUAUACCUCCUGCAGUUCCCUCUUAACAUUAUCAAGACCACCGAUAUCUUCCCAGCUGACAUUGGGCACUUCAACAACCUGUACAAUUAAAGAAUAAUUUCAAUUUAUAAGAAAAAGCAUCCCAUGCAGAUAACAAUGUUAGAGCAAAAGCUGGUAUAAAAGAAAAUGGAAAGCAUGCAAGACUACAGUUUCACGGAGCGCAGAAGGAUUGCUGGUUCCAAGAGCCGUCUUAAAAUGUUCAUUGGUGACAGCCAUUGAGUUCAGUAUCUCUGCAUCAAUAGUUUCAUCCUCUAAGUCAAUUAUGUCCAUUUUCUCUCUUAUGCACUGUAGAGCAGCUUCAGUGCAUAGCGCAGCCAAAUCGGCACCAACAUAGCCAUGGGUGUCUUUUGCAAUUCUUUCCAAAUCAACCUGCGUAGAUGGAAUGAAGUUAGUCAAUGUAAUAUUCUAUAAGAAUGUACAACAAGGACUAGUUCAAAAGGCUGGUAACGUUACAAACAAAAGUACAAGGGAUUAAAAUGUUUACAUCUUCAGCAAGUUUCAUGUUCUUGGUAUGGAUGCGUAGAACUUCAAGACGCCCAACUUCAUCAGGCACCCCAAUAUCAAUUUCCCUAUCAAACCUCCCAAACCUUCUAAGAGCAGGGUCAAUACUGUUAGGUCGGUUUGUGGCUCCAAUCACAAUUACAUGUGCUCGAGCUUUCAAACCAUCCAUCAAAGUCAACAGUUGAGAGACAAUUCUCCUCUCAACCUCCCCAUGAGUCUUCUCUCUCUUAGGAGCAAUAGAAUCAAUCUCAUCAAUAAAAAUAAUCGAGGGUGCAUUCUUUUCUGCCUCCUCGAAAGCUUUCCUAAGAUUGCUUUCACUUUCUCCUGCUAGCUUCGACAUGAUUUCCGGACCGUUUAUAACAAAGAAGAAAGCACCUGUCUCGUUAGCAACUGCUCGUGCAAUAAGCGUUUUCCCAGAACCAGGAGGGCCGUACAGCAGAAUUCCUUUUGGUGGCUUUACUCCGAUGGAUUUGAAGAGUUGAGGGUGCCUUAGAGGUAAUUCAACUAGUUCACGAAUCUGAGCCAUCUGCUUGCGAACCCCACCAACAUCAUCAUACCCUACUUCAUCGAGCCUGUCUUCAUCCUCUCUUUUUACGGGUUCGCCCUCGCAAAAGAUUUCAGUGUCAGGGGCCACAACACAGUAUUCAGCAGGGUCAGUUUCUAUCACUUUGAACUCCACACAACGCAUACCACCUCUGACAAGGAACAGGUCACCCUUCCUUACCGGGCGAUAUGCCUCAAGGAAAUAAGCUGCAAAAAUAUGUCCAAAGGAAAAGGCCAUGAUCAACAUAAUCGACAACGUAUUUUUAUACUAAGAUAACUGAAAAAAAAAAAUUGACUGUUGAACAGCUUUCUAGAACUUGAUCUGAAAAGAUAAAAGAACUCUCCAUCCUCCAUAUAAACUUAAUAACAAGCAACCUACAUGAAUCAAUUUGAUCAUAUGCAAGAGAAAGCUAUCACUUAACACUAAGUUAUAGUUUAAAACAAUAGAGUUAUGAAGUUUACUACUCUCCAAACUCACAAGAGGAAAUGUUCCAACCUUCCACAAUCAAUUAUCACAUUAAACUUCUCAUUCUACCUCAAAAAUAUGUUUGGGCCUCCUGCAAGUAUUAUGACAAUCUCCUUUCUCACAAUAACUUUUUUUCCCUCUAAGAAAAUAUAUCUAAGUACCACCAUCAAAAAAUUGCAUCACACAAUGUCUGAGUUGCAUUUUACCAAACUUUUCUUUUCAAUAAUAAUUAAAACAGGCUAUUUGAAUCAAACUUACGUUUUAGGUAUGCAUCGAACAAGUUGCCAGUUACGCCUUCAAUGGUGUCGUCAAUAGGCAAUAUAUGCACACGUUUUCCAUACUUGACAUCCGGGCACUGAUGGACGGAAACAACGUCACCGAGCCUUACCCUGAGGUUAGACCUGACAACCUUGUUCAUCCUUAUCUUAGGCUCUUCACAAGUGUCAUCGGCAAGUGCGAUGCAGAUAGUGUCUCUCCUUUUCUUACCCUGAAUUUGCCAUAUAGAGUUGAAAAGUAGUAUCGAUCAGUAAAGCAAACAGAAUCAAGCAGCAGUCAAAUCUAUCCUAGUAGUUUGGCGCUUGACAGAAAAUCCUCAACUCUUUUGACAAAAAAUGUCACCCGUUUGAAUUUAACAAUACUUUCUGAAAUAGUGAAAUCAAAAUAAUUGUAAAAUUAGUUAGCAAAAUCAACAUUUUAAACUAAACAGAGGUAUUCAAAAUGCACAAUAGUUCAGGUAAGAUCUAUGCUCACCAAAGUUAAGAAUACAUUGAUCUACUCAUAAACCUAGAUACAAGUGUUUUCCAAUAGUUUGAAACUUAAGGACCCGUUUCGCCUGAUUAAAGCUUCUGCAGAACUGCUGUUUGAAUAGGAGAAACCCCAGCAACCUUCCUAUUACAAGAUUAUCAACAGCUUUCCAUUGCAGCUAGAAGCAAAAGCUUCAAAAUAGAACUUUUGCCUCUGGGUCCAAGAAGCAAGAAUUACAUCAUUUUUCAUUAACAAAAAUGUCUGGAUUUUUGCUUUUUGCGAAAAGAGAGUAAAUAUUCUUCAUUUGGUACAUAGAGUUCAAGAUCUCAGCCAAUUAUCCUUCUGUUAUCCUCCUAGAUAUAUCAUGUGAGAUGCAUAGAACAACUGAUUCAGCUACCAACCACAAAAAAAGGCCCAAUUCAACCAAAAGCACAACCUCUUCAAAGGAAAAACUCUUAACUCCACCGAAACCCACAUCACAAACCACCAAAAUCUAUCUACAGAAACAAACAAAACACCAAAGCCUCACCUUGAUAAGGAUCGUAUCGCCGCGGAAGAGCUGGAGCUUCUCCAUCGUCUCGGGAUGCAACGCGACCACCGAAUUGUCAUCGUUGACCGCCUCAUCAACCACCAAACGGUUCGGAGCCUUCUUCCUCUCCAAGAUCGCCGUGGAGAAGUCCCUCUUCGUCCCUUUCCUACAAAGUUCCCCACCACCCCCAAAAAAGAGAUCGAAUCAGUAACCCUAACCCCAAUUGAAGGCCCUAAUCGAGCUAAGAGAGGCAAUAAGGAGGAGGGAUCUUACGGAUCGGAGGAGGAAGCGGCCUCGCCCUGGUUCGCCAUGGGAUCUGAAUUAGGGUUCCGAGAGAAGGGAAUCGACGAAGACGAAGAAGGAGAAAAGUGCGAGGAGACACCGAAGAGUGAGGGGAUAUUAACAUUUAUAGUAGUGGUUUAAUUGUAUUGAUUAUCCCUGGACUAUCCUAAUUUACAAACUAGUCCCUUGUUUUUGUCGCUUUUUUUUCAAACUUGCAUACAUUGCACUUUAAUUUGUAAAAUAAAAUUUGUAAGAAUAAUUUAUUUUUCAUGAGAAAAUAGUCUUUUUAAUUCCUCUUGAAUUUAAUCAGGAUUAUUAAAAUAUUAAUAAGUAUUUACAAGGAUAUUUAUACAUCGCAUUUGUAUACAUAAUAAAGAUAUAAUAGGGACUGUAAGUGUAAUAAUAUUAAAAUAUUCAAAAAAUAGAAAUAUUUAAAUAGAAAGAAUAAGAACCAUUUUGUUAUAUAGGAAUAGGACUGGGACUAUGCUUACAUUUUACUAUCAUACAUUUAAUAGGGUAUUUUAUUUGGUUUUGGUGUUAGGUUUGGUAUAAGGGUAUCCUUGCUCAGUAAGAAAGAAUAAUAGCCGUUGGAUGGAGAUGCAUAAUUUGUAGGAGGAUGAUGAUGCCACGUGGCAUACUCUUUUUUAAUAUAUAUAUAUAUAUAUAUAUAUAUAUAUAUUUUGGUGAGCACAUGCUUCUACUUUUAUUUUUUUUUAUUUUAAGAAAAUCUCCAAUGUAAUAGUGUCUUGUCACGCUUUGGUGUACGGUUUCUUAGAAAUAAAAUUUUAACCAUAAAACUAAUAAUGUAUUACAAUUAUUUGCAAACUUUUAAAAUAAAUUACAUACACAUUUUUUUUUGUAUUAAUUAUUUACAGUUAUUUCAUAAAUCAAAACACCCAAAAAGGAAAAAGCAAACCAUACAAAAGAAACAUCAAUUUGAUAUCAAAUUAAGAAAAAUAUAUAGCCUUAUAAUAUUAUAUAUAUAAUGAGCCUACUAUACUAUCUGUAGUUACCGGUGCUCUGGUAAUAUAGUCUUGUUUGUGAUUUUAGAUUGUUCAAAUCAACGAUCCACACCGUUAAAUAUUAUUUAGAGUUUAUAAAAUUUUUAAAAAUAAAAUUUUAAUUUUUUUCAACAUCGUUUAUUUAGUAAGUGAAUCAUGUUAAAAUGAAAAGCAGAUAUUGAAUAAUUUUUAAAAUUUAAGGAUAGGACUUUUGAAUUUAAGAUCAUGAAUAAUGAUCUUGAUCUAAACAGUUUAAAGUAUUUUCUAUCAAAAUUUGAAUAAAUUUAAAUUCUUCUACACGGUUAAAUAGCAGUUAUUAAAAAUUGAUAAUUUUGAAAUGGUUUAAUCAAAAAGUAAACUAUAUCAAAAAAUUUUAAAAUUUUAUUUUUAAAAAUUCUAAAUGUGUCAGAUCAGUUUUAAUGGUAUAAAUCGUUGAUUUGAAUACCCUAAAACUGAAAACGAGCCUAUAGUACCGAAGUGCUGAUACUCUAUAUAUAUAAAUACACUUGCACACUUUGCCCUACUCUCUUAAUUUGUAGCAACCUUUAAUCCAUUCAUCCUCGAGAUCGGCGAUUUUGCGAUCAUCUGUCAUUAAUUCCGUCUCGAGAUUCGCGCGAUCCUUAGCUAUGCGAUUCUUUGUUUGAGCCUCUAUAUUCUUGUUCUUCAUAUAUAUGAAAAUGGACUGAUGAUAACACGAAGGAAUGGAACAUAAAACUAAUUGGUGGAGCAGAAGGAGCAGGAUACAUUAUCUGAAAAAACAAAAAACAUGAUGCCAAAUUAGAUUUUAAAUUAUUUAUAAAAAGUGGUGAAUACAGUUAAAAGUAUAGGAGUUAGAAUUUCAUGUAUCUUAUUUAGUUAAAUUUAGGGGUGGCAAUCCAGCUCGCUGUUUGAGAGCCGGCUCAUGUUCGGCUCGAAAUGAGCUCGAGAUAAAAUCGCUCGUUUAAUAAAAGAGCCGAACACGAGUUGAAUUCUUCAGCUCGUUUAAUAAACGAGCCGAACACAAGUCAAGGUCAGCUCAUUCGUGUUCGGCUCGGUAAUAGUUCGAAUAUAUAUAUAGAAAUAUAAUUUUUAAUUUUAUAUGUAAAUAAAUAAUUAAUUAUAUAUAAAAUACAUAUUUUUAUUAUUUGAUUUUUGGUUCAAUCUAAAUAUAAAUUCCAACUCAAUUAAAAAAAAAAAACUCAUUUAUAUAUAAUAUUUCAACCAUUAGAUCAAAAUAUAAUGGAUAAAAUAUCAUAAAUUUAUUUUUUAUAUAUAUUCUUUCUAAUUUUUUUAACUUGUUGUUCGUAAGUCGGCUACUGUUCAGCUCAUUUAUUAAUAAGCCAAAUACAAGCUAAAUUUUUCUGCUUAAUACUUUAAUGAGCCGGCUCGUGUUAUGCUCGUUUAUAAAACAAGCUGAACACGAGCCAGCCCUAACUCGUUCGUGUUCAUCUUGUUGACACCCCUAGUUAAAUAUAAUAGAAACUAUUACAAGUACAAAUAUUUUUUUGGUUGCAUAUAGUUGAGCCAUGCAUUUUGAAAUUUUAAUUACUUUUAUAUCUGUAGUGGUGAGAUUACUUUUAAUAUAAAAAAAGUGUAUUGUUUUUUAAAAAAUGAUUAAGAAAAUAUUUUUUUUAAAAAAAUUACUCUUUCUAAUUACUGCAGUUGAAACUGCGACAAAUUUGAAUAUAAUUCUAACCACACCAAUUAAAUUCAAAUGCAUCAAAUCAAAAUUCAAAUUCAUACAGUACAACUAUAUGCAAUUAAACACUUCCUAAAAAUUUCUUGCAUGCAAUAUAUGUUACAAAAAAUUCACUACACGUGUAUAAAAUUGCAAUAUAUAUUUUUAUUGUUCUUGAAUGAAUAAUACGUAGUCAUAUCAAAGUCAAAGAUUUUAAAAAAAAUCUUGAACUAUAAAAAAAAAAAAAAAGUACUCAUGAGUUUCGCUGCAACAAGAAGAUUUAAAACCCCCAAUUAAAGCAAACACAUAAACAAAUUAUAUGUUGGUAUAAUGCUAAUUUUUUAAUUGAUUAAGAGAGAGAGAGAGAGAUGCAUCUACUCACACGUGUCUCUUCACUGUUGGUUGGGUAGACCAGGUCCACGCUCUUGUUGAUCUUCUUGUGUAGCCAAUCACGGAGCUUCUCCGGAUCUACCCUCCCCACCACCUUCACCUCCCCACUCUCCAUGUUUGGUUCCACCCUCUCCACCCCUUCCACAAAAAAUAAAAGAAAAGUUAAGAGAGAGAGAGAGAGAGAGAGAUGUGAAACAUGCAAUUGAUUAUCCCGACAAAAGCUUAACAUAUCAAAGAAUAGUAACUUAAGGCGCGCCUUCUAUUCCGAUACUGUGUGCACUAAGUACAGUAUGCUCCUAAAAGUUUAAAUCGUCAACGAACAGUAAUUUUAAUAUUUUAACAAAAAAGAUAGAGGGAGAGCAGCCAGAUGGCGUCGAUUGGGAAUGGGUUCGCAGCGUGGUGUUGGGAGUUAUGGAAUGAGCGGAAUAGUAGAAUAUUCGAUAAUCAACUUGACCAAAGUGAAAAUCUAAGAAGAAGAAUUCGUUGCACUGUCAGCCAAUGGGUCUCGACGUUAGGAAGCUAAGAUUGUCCACGCUUGCUCAACAUUUGUCACUCAUUGGGUCGGUUUUAGGUUCGCAAGGGUAGAACUUUCGUAGAGAUAGUUUCUAUCUGUCGAUCCAAAAGAUCUGAUGUUGUUAAAUUGUUCUUGUACUUUGCUUUAAAAUAUGGUAUAUUCUUGUUCAAUCAAAAAAGAAAGAUAAGAGGGAGAGAGAUUUAACCAUGGAAGCUUGAGAUGGACUCCAUGCCUUUCCUGAUCUUCUUGGUGCAUCCAAUGCAUUGGCAAUGCAUAGCAAUCUUCAACAGGAAGGUCACUGUAUCUACCUUUCCACCUUUAAUUCCCUCCUGCAUAUAUAUAUAUAUAUAUAUAUAUAUAUAUAUAUAUGGCAAAUUAACCGAAAAAACGGUGAGAGAAAUCAAGUAAGUAUGCGCUUCGACUUCUUCUGCGUUCAGUAGAAGCAAGUCUAAUAAUGAGAUUCUGAGCUUAAAAGAUACUCAAUAAAAAAACUUCUUCAGCUGAUAUAUAGGACAAACAGGAUGGUUUUUCAUUAAAUGAUCCAUACACAAAAUUCUAAUGUAAAACCAAACAAAACUAAGUAAUAUGCAGAAGCUGUAAAUGCUCACCAUGUUAGAGAGAGGGUCAACCUUAGCUUUCUCUUUAUUCAUAUCCUACCAAAUGAUCUCUCCUUUGGAUGGAACUUGUGAGGAAAUAAAUGGAGGAGAGAGUAAGUAUUGUGUAUAUAUAUAUAUAGAGAGAGAGAGAGAGAGAGAGAGAGAAAGAGAGGGAGAGGAGAGAGAGGGCAGUUUUUGGAGCACUGGGGAGGAGGGGCUUUUAUAUAUAGCUAGGAGACUUUUUUUAUAAAGUAAUCUUCUAAAAUUUUUAAAUUUGCAAAAUGAUCCUUUCAAAAUUAUAUUUGUAAAAUUAACCCACAUUUCGCCACGUAGGCGUAGGGGUGAAUUUUUUUGGAUAAAGGCGGUGAAUCAUUUACCGCCUUCAGUAAGGCGGUGAACGAUUCACCGUCUUACUAAUAUAAUUAGCAGAGAAAUGGUAUUUUUUGGUAGUUUAAUUGCUGCUUGAGUUGGAAGUCCAGUAGGUUAGUUUAUCUGGGUUAAGGGUACAACUCUAUUAGUCUAAUCAAGUAGAAAGUGGUAUAUGUUAAUAAUUAACUUAUUGGCCUAAUUAAAGUACAGGAAUAUACUUGCUUUGCUUUCUCCCAUAGAAUGAUAUACGCAAGAGCCCCGCCAACUACUAUAUAACGCUUUUUUUUUUUUUAAACUAAGUGGCUGAGAUGUAAUAUGACUCAUAGUCGAGGAUAUGUAUUCAACUAUACAAAAUUGACUAACCAAUCUGGUCUAUGCUACUAAUACUUUUCUCGUGUUGUCCUAUUAAGUAAUCCAGGCCGGUAUUCUCUUAUGUUCAUGUUGCUACUAAUAAUUUUCCCGUAUCGACCUAUCGGCAGGUUACUUUAUUUAAAAUCUUAUCAUAAUCUUAAUUAGUUGGAGAUAAACAUGUGUUUAUAAAGUUGACUAAGACUUACAGCAGCUGUGUAAAGCGAAGGUUUAUAUACAUUCGAUGGAUAGCACUCGUGCAAAGGCAUGGAUGGUUUAAGUUUUCAGUCCAACCUCGUCGACGUUGACCACCGGCCUUCUUAGCAUUUGGCCCCACCCUCCAGCGGGCCCCACCGCGGAUCAGCCUGAAGGUGUCAUUUUCAAUAUUUAAGGAAAGCGUCCCCAUAUAGUCUAACAUAGUCUAACGUCAUAUUUAAAAGUGUCAGCAAAUGAAGAGUCGCUACGUAUAUACAGGUCAAAAAUUUAAGUAUUGUUGUACAGAAUCGUGCAGAAAAUUUGCCGGCACGGUACGGCACGAUUCAUGCCGAGACAUACCGAUGCGUGUCGGUCACAAAAAAUAUAUGUGUACCGACACGUAUUGGCAUCAAAUAUUUAUCUUUUUAGAAACAAAUUAUACUAAUUAUUAAUUAGUAUAUAUUUUUAUCAAAUCUUUUGAAUUUUAUUGAAAAAAAUUACUUACUAAUUUCAGGAAUAAAAGAUUUUGAAUUGUGCCAUUUGCAUGGGGACUGCAUCGUGCCGAUAUCUUACUGGCACGAUACAGUACGGUGGAUAUGAUCCGUGCCGAUAGGCACUUUAAUCCUUGAUACAGACGCUUAUGCCAAGUGUUAAUAAAAUAUAUUUUUUGAAAUUUUUAAAAAUCCUGACGUUUUAAAGCGUUGAAAUAUUAAAAAUAAUAGUAAAGUUUAUCAUUUAAUAAAUUAGCUGGUUUGAUAUAAUAGAGAGUUCAUAUGACAACGUUUUUUGAAGCAUCGGUAUUUGCUAUAUUGCAGGGAAUGCUUGGGGACGCUUUUUCCUAAUGUCGUCUAAAACACGUCCUUAUAUUGAAAUUUUUUUGUAGUGUUAUAAUUUAAGAGUUAACUAUGAUCCUUCACUCUACAGUUUAAAAAAUUUUGUAAUAUUCAACGAAUUAUUGGAUGGAGACAAAAUUAAUACGUGUCAGUGAAUCAGUGACUCUCUAAUUAAUAAGGAGUCAUUUUGGAGCUUCCCAUUGAAGUUUUAUCCGCCUUAUGGUUAACUUAUUACAAAUUCAUAUAUAAUAAUUAGAGAUUAUACAUUAUAGAUUAUAGAUUAUAUAAGAUUAUAGAUAACAUAAUGCAAUUGGAGGGACUCUCUCUCUCUCUCUCUCUCUCUCUCUCUCUCUCUCUCUCUCUCUGUGGGUAGCAUCUUAGCCUUCUCUCUCUCUCUCUCUCUCUCUGUGGGUACCAUCUUAGCCUUCGUUUGGUUGGGGGUUAAGGGGUGGAAUAACCCCUUAACCCCCAUUUUAUCCCCAAACACUUCUACAAAUAGUUGGGGUUAGUUAACACCACCUCAAAUGGGUUAUCCCGAGUUAGCUAACCUCACCUAACCCCACCAAACCUCAACCAAACACUAUUUUCUAUUCAUAAUAACCCACUAUCCUUCUUAUCCCACCUACUCCAACCAAACACUAUUUUUCACUAUCCUGGACUAACUCCAACCUCCAACCAAAUACAAAAAUACUCUAACCUCACCUUAACCCUAAACUUAAGACUAUCCCUGGAAUAAGUAGUUUUUCCUUAACCCUGAACCAAACUGUAGCUUAGAGAUAUAAAGGAUUUGGUAUGGGCAACUAUAUAUGCUUUAAUUAGAAGCAUGUGUUUUUAACUUUUGGGCCCUUGAAUUUCUAAGGUUUACAAGUUGAUGAUGUUUGCACUUAGCAAUGAGAAUUGAUCAGGAAAACUCAAGUAGGAUUAUGUAAUUAAACAAGCAUCUUCAAUGAGAAUGUCUUUGAGCCAUAUGAUUGUUUAAGGAGAAGAACCUAAAUCAAUUUUUCAUAACCCUAGUGUUUUUUUUUAGCCUUUUUUAAAAAAGUUUGUUUUUAACAUACAUUGUAAUCGAUCCGAAAGAGUCAUUUUGAUUUUAUCGAUAUUAAUUACUAAGAACGAAAAUGCAGUGGCAAUUAAUUCUAUCAAACACUUUUUUUUUUCAUUUAACAUACAUCUAUAAGAUGUUGAUAUAGGUAACAUGAUCAAAUAAAAAAAAACUGAAUUGGAUAUAUAUAUAUAUAUAUAUAUAUAGGAGCACUCUAAUACAAUUGGAAAAUAGCUGAACACAUUCUUGAGAAAAAAAAAAAAGAGAUUCAAUUUAAUUUCAUGAAUUUUAAAGUGCACAAAUUUGAACUCCUUUUCUUUCUUUUUUUUUUGUCCUAGGGGCCUUAAUUAUUUGAGUAAUUCAAAAGAGUAUAAUUAACCAUAUGAAUUUUAAGAGAGAUAAAGAGGUUUAAUUUCGAGAAUUAACUCUGUAUUUAGUACUAGAUAAAUGUUUGGGCUAAAGCCAAGAUAAAUAAAUAAAUUCUCAGAAAAAAAAAAAAAAAAAAAAAAACCUUGGACGUUGUAGAUGCGUAGUUUAAGUAAUCCUUACGUACAAUUUCCCGCGCGAAUCUCAAAGCACACGCGUCCCCCACACGGUAGCCUCCGCCCUCCUUUUUAGUCCCACAUCGAACGUUUAAACGACUUACAUUUUCUCUUAUAGUUUGCUAUCGGCAAGCACAGUGUCUCUUCGGAGACAUCCGAUAAAAUUGGAACGAUACAGAGAAGAUUAGCAUGGCCCCUGCGCAAGGAUGACACGCACAAAUCGAGAAAUGGUCCAAAUUUUUUUUUUUAAUUU
rnacentral:lncRNA from 1 species